rnacentral:lncRNA from 1 species
AUCGAACUGGUACCUGGGACCACACCAAUUUCGAUAGCUUCGUAUCGUAUGGCACCAACGGAAUUAAAGGAGUUGAAAGCUCAGUUGCAAGAGUUGAUGGAUAGAGGUUUUGCUCGCCCGAGUUUUUCACCUUGGGGUGCACCAGUGUUGUUUGUGAAAAAGAAUGACGGAACCAUGAGGUUGUGCAUCGACUAUCGUCAUCUUAAUAAAGUGACAAUAAAGAAAAAAUAUCCGUUACCGCGUAUCGAUGAUUUGUUCGAUCAACUGAAGGGAGCCUCAGUGUUCUCAAAAAUAUAUUUGAGAUCGGGCUAUUAUCAGUUGCGAAUUCGAGAUUCGGACAUACCCAAAACUGCCUUCAGAACGAGAUAUGGUCACUACGAGUUCUUAGUGAUGCCGUUUGGGCUCACUAAUGCCCCUGCGGUAUUUAUGGAUUUGAUGAAUCGGAUCUUCAGACCAUAUUUGGAUCGGUUCGUAGUUGUGUUCAUUGAUGACAUCUUGGUCUAUUCAAGAGAUGAGACCGAACAUGCUGAGCACCUGAGAUUAGUGUUACAAAUUUUAUGGGAUAAGCAGUUAUAUGCCAAGUUCAGUAAAUGUGAGUUUUGGUUACGAGAAGUUAGCUUUUUGGGUCAUGUAGUAUCUGUAUCGGGCAUUCGAGUUGAUCUGAGCAAAAUUUCAGUCAUACUUAACUGGAAGCCUCUAAGAAAUAUUACCGAAGUUCGGAGCUUCCUGGGGCUCGCCGGUUAUUACCGAUGAUUUGUAAAAGGUUUCUCGAUGAUAGCCACACCAAUGACAAAGCUACUUCAAAAGGAUGUUAAGUUCGAAUGGACGGAGAAAUGUCAGAAAAGUUUCGAUCAACUGAAAACUUAUUUGACUGAAGCUCCAAUUUUAGUGCAACCCGAAUCAGGCAAAGAGUUUGUCAUUUAUAGUGACGCAUCCCUACUUGGGUUGGGUUGCAUAUUGAUGCAAGAAGGUCGAGUUGUGGCCUAUGCGUCGAGACAAUUGAAGCCGCACGAGAGAAAUUAUCCGACCCAUGAUCUCGAACUAGCCGCCAUCGUAUUUGCUUUAAAAAUAUGGCGACAUUAUUUGUUUGGUGAGAAGUGCCAUGUAUUUUCGGAUCACAAAAGUCUCAAAUAUUUGAUGACCCAGCGAGACUUGAAUCUGCGACAAAGGCGUUGGCUUGAGUUGUUGAAAGAUUAUGAGCUUGUCAUUAAUUAUCACCCGGGAAAGGCUAAUGUGGUUGCGGACGCCUUAAGCCGAGAAUCACUGUUUGCUUUGCAAGCGAUGAAUGUACACUUGUCUAUUCUACCCGACAAUGUGUUAGUAGCUGAUUAAAAGCCAAACCAUUAUUGAUUCAUCAAAUUCGUGAAGCUCAGAAAGUCGAUGAUGAAUUGGUUGCAAAACGGGCUGAGUGUGUUCCGAACAAGGAAUCGGAGUUUCAAAUUGAUGAUGAUGAUUGUUUGAGGUUCAGAAGUAGUUUGUGUGUUCCAAGGAAUUCGGAACUCAUUUCGAUGAUUCUGAACGAAGCCCAUUGUAGUCGAAUGUCAGUUCACCCGGGGAGUACGAAAAUGUACAACGAUUUGAAACGUCAGUUUUGGUGGCAUGGUAUGAAACGAGACAUCUCCGACUUUGUUUCGAGAUGUUUAAUAUGUCAACAAGUGAAAGCGGAACAUCAAGUGUCUUCAGGAUUACUUCAGCCGAUCAUGAUACCCGAGUGGAAAUGGGAUCGAGUCACAAUGGACUUUGUGUCCGGACUGCCAUUGUCAGCAAGUAAGAAGGAUGCGAUUUGGGUUGUUGUUGAUAGACUGACUAAGUCAGCUCACUUUAUCCCCGUGCGUACGGAUUUUUCAUUGGAUAAACUAGCUGAAUUGUACGUUUCCCAGAUUGUGAGAUUACACGGGGUACCGAUUUCUGUUGUGUCGGAUAGAGAUCCGAGAUUCACCUCGCGAUUUUGGAAGAAAUUGCAAGAAGCUUUGGGUACCAAGCUGCAUUUUAGCACCGCUUUUCAUCCACAAACCGAUGGUCAAUCCGAGCGGGUAAUUCAGAUACUUGAGGAUAUGUUGAGAUGUUGCAUCCUUGAGUUUAGUGGUUCAUGGGAACGGUAUUUACCAUUGAUUGAAUUCGCUUACAACAAUAGUUUUCAAUCAAGUAUUAAGAUGGCACCUUACGAGGCUUUGUACGGGCGUAAAUGCCGUACACCAUUGUUUUGGACCGAGCUCGGUGAAAGUAAAAUUUUCGGAGUGGAUUUGAUUAAAGAUGCUGAACAGAAAGUAAAAGUAAUCCGUGAAAGUCUAAAGAUAGCCUCAGAUCGCCACAAGUUGUACGCGGAUCUGAAACGAAAAGACAUUGAGUAUCAGGUGGGAGAUAAGGUGUUUCUUAAAGUUUCACCUUGGAAAAAGAUACUCAGAUUUGGGCGUAAGGGCAAAUUGAGUCCGAGGUUCAUCGGGCCAUACAAAAUAUCCGAACGAGUCGGUCCAGUUGCGUAUCGAUUGAUUUUGCCCCCUGAACUUGAAAAGAUUCACGACGUCUUUCAUGUUUCGAUGCUUCGACGCUAUAGAUCUGAUCCAUCGCACAUAAUUAGCCCAUCAGAGGUCGAAAUUCAAGCUGAUAUGAGUUAUGAAGAAGAACCGAUGCGUAUCCUAGCUCGUGAAGUGAAAGAGUUGCGAAACAAAAGGGUUCCGUUAGUAAAGGUGUUAUGGCUCAAACACGGGAUCGAGGAAGCUACUUGGGAAACCGAGAGCUCGAUGAAAGAAUGAUACCCAAACCUAUUUACCGGUAAGAUUUUCAGGGACGAAAAUUUCUUAAGUGGGGGAGAGUUGUGACAGCCCUAAAGUGACCCUAGUCGGAAAGCGGUCUCGGGACUGCUAGACCGAGUCACCAAAUUAUUUGGAUAUGAUAAUUAUUUCCUAAAAUAUGUGAAUAUAAAUGUGUGAAAGUUUUAAGCUUCGAUUUAGUUAAUUGCAUGUGAAUUUAGUUUAUAGGACUUAUGUGAGAAAAUUUAGAAAUGUGCUAGGCAAAUGCAAGUGGCCUAAUAGUGCAUGUAAUCAAAAGGGUGGAAUUGUAUGUCAAUUUCCCCCCAUUUAAGUACUAGUGGCCGGCCAUGACAAGGGAUGAUGGGCAAAACAUGUCAUGAAACAUGUUGUGUUAAUGGAAAAAUAAAAUAAGAAGCAUGGGCAAUAAACUAAUAAGAAAUUGAAGGAAGAAAACAAAGAAAAAAAAAUGUGUUCAUCAUUCUCAUGCAUGACCGAAAAAAAAAAAGAAGGGAAAGGCUUCAUACUUUAGUUCUUCUUAGCUGUGUAGAAGGGGGAAAAGGGAAAAAAAAAGAGAACAAAAAGUCUUUCUCAUUUUGUUCUUCUUGGCCGAUUGUGAAGAGGAAGUAGGGAGGGAGGCAUUCGGUCAUCCUAGGCUAAUAGCAAGCUCAAGAGCUUAGAGGACCAAAGUUGGAUAAGGGGAAGGAAAAAGUGAUCGAAUAGCCGUCGAAACCGUUCGACAACAUCCGAGGUAAGUCUUCGAGUAAUGACCCUACUUGAAUUAUAUUGAAAUGAUUAGUCAUACUAUGACGGAUAGCCGAAUGUGCAUAGAGACUAUGUUAUAAAGCCAAUUGAAAUCAUGCUCUUUGUGUGUGGCUAUUGAGCCGAAAUUGGAAAGGUUUAAUAAAUGUUUUGUGUUUGAGCCUUAGUAACGAAAAUGAAAUAUGGAUGUGUCAUGAUUAUUGAUAUAUGUGUGCAUGAGCAUUUGAAUGAUAUCCGGCUAAGUCCCGAAAGCAUUUAUGCUAGUGAUUUUAUCCGGGCUAAGACCCGAAGGCAUUUGUGCGAGUUGAAAUAUCCGGGCUAAGACCCGAAGGUAUUUGUGCGAGUUGCUAUACCCGGGUUAAGACCCGAAGGCAAUUGUGCUUGUGGUUAUAUCCGGCUAAAUUUCGAAGAAACUUGGGUUUGAAGGUGAGCGUUUUGUGCUGUAAUAAAUUCAAUUAAUACGCUCGAAAAACCCAAACGAUAAGGUAUGUUUGCAUGUGCAUCGGAAAAGUCGAUUCGUUUUAAAUAGUAUUCGUUCAAUCGACUAACGAACUUUCGGCUUUUAGAUAGGUUGAUACCUUGUGUGUGUAUAUGUUGAUGAAGUGUGAAGUAAGUAUGAUUAUGAGAAUGUGUAUUAAUAAAGUGAUUCAUUUAGCUAUGUGAAUGUAAUACUUUAGUCAAAGCCGAUUUCAUUACUUGAAACUUACUAAGCUUUAAAAUGCUUACCCCGUUGCUUUGGCUCUCUGUUUUAUAGAUUUUGUUCGUUAGCUAUCGGAUUCGGGAUCAUCGAAGUCGAAGUCAUCCACACUAUCAAAGCCCUUUUGGUACUCUUUUAGUUGAACUCUGGAUAUGGCAUGUAUAGGACUACCCUUUGUUGUUUUUCAAGUACUUUUUGUGAUGUAUGUGUGUACAGCCAUGCGAAAAUGGCUCGUAGAAGUGGAGUAUGGCAUUAGACCAUUUGUGUUUAUGUAUAUAUAUGGUUUCAUGAUGUGACUAUGGACUGGAAUGGAAGUGUUGGGCAAAUGAUCAGCCAUUGGAAUGGCUAAAUAUGAUCAUAUGUGGACCUAUGUAUGACAAAACUCUAGUUGGUCCAUGGUAACCACGAAAUAGGUAAAGUUUACCUUGAAAACAGAUGCUGACAGCAGCAGUGGUGUGGAUUUGAAAAAUCACUACAAUUUGUAGGAAUGGAAUUAAAUAGUUAAUAAAUUAUAUAAUAGAACCCUGAUGAAUCUAUUUUCAUAUGAAAGUAACAAAAUGAUCAUAUGAACAGUAUAUUAAGAGAUAUUAAAGUUCUCGUGAAAUAGGGCCAGAACGGUUUCUAGAUCCCCUGUUUCGACUUUGAAAAUUUACCAUAAAUUAUCCAGAGACAAUUAGAAGUCAUUCCUUAUAUUUAUAGAUUCCCUUUUGAGUCUAGUUUCAUUAGAAACAAACGGCAUGAGUAUUGAAGCUCUGUACAGGGAGAUAUCCAAGUCGUAAUAUGUGAAGGUCAGAGUAGUCGAACCCAGAAUCAGGGGAGACUUUAACUAAUAAACUGUACCAAUUGGCCAAACCAAAAAUUCUAGAAAUAAAUACACAGAUGGAUAUAUGAGUCUAAUUUUAGGGAAAAUUUACGGAAUCAGUUUUUGAGUUUUGGAACUCGAGAUAUGGUUUUUAAGGCGACAGUGACGCGGUUAGCCAGCCUGUCUGGAAUUUUUUUUUUAAAUGGACUGUGAAAACAAAGUAAUUAAGUCUGUUAGCACCUCGCGUUCGACUCCGGCAACGGUCUCGGGUACGGGGUGUUACAUCACAUCUCAUGGCAGGAUUACCAGUCCAGGCUAAAUCCUACAUAUCAUGAACUCAUAAGGUGAUGUCGGGAUUACCACUCCCGACUAAAUCCCGUAUAGCGACAAACACCCUUAAUGAGCUCGGAUCUGAAUUACCAAUCCAGGCUAAAUUCAGACCCUAAUCGGAUUACCCGUCCGGGCUAAAUCCAUAAUGUACACAUAUUCUUCGGAAGGCUUAAUCAUUCUAGGAACACCCGUCCAGGUUAGAUUCCUUUUCAUACUUGAGAUCACGGAUUACCCGUCCGGGCUAAAUCCUACUGCAACACAUGCAGGAUCUCAGUUCACAUGUCAAAGAGGGUUUGUCCAUCGAAUUCCCUUUUUCAACCUCAACCGAGACAUUUUUACAUGUUAUCAUCACAUAUGCAUUUCUACGAUAUUCAUGCCAAUAAUAAAUACAAUCAUCAUUGCAUUCAUAAAUCAUACAAUUAUACAUAUUAGGGGUUUACUUUAAGUUAUCUGAACUUACAUUGGUAUUCGUUUCAGAGAUAUGUUUUGGUUAUUCCAAAACCUUGCGUUUACCACGCUCGACCUCCAGAAUUUGUUUACCUCGAGGUCUAUAUCAACAAAAUUAACUCAUUAAUACACUACAUUAUGUAUUUCAAGUUUAAUAUCUACUUCCGUCCAAAUGACCAUUUUUCCCUUAACCUUUCACAUUUUUACGAUUUAGUCCCUUGGCUCGUAUAAUGAAACACAUGCACUUUCGAUCUUACCCAAGCCUAGCCGAACACUUUUCCUUCUUAUGGUAGCCUAAAUUAUCCGUUAUUUUCUCAUUUCUACCACAUAUUUACAUCUUUUGCAAAAUAGUCCCUACAAAGGUUUUUCAUGAAAAUUAACUAGGAAAAUAUGUUUGAUACACAUUCAUCUUUCAUAUUCCUCCAUAAUCCAUCAAAAUACAAGCAACUCAUGCAUGGGUAAAUUUUUAAACAUGAACCCUAGCAUGAAAUAUGGGUAGAAAUGGAGAGAGCAAGCUAUCGGGAUUUCAAAAAUACAAAUAGCAUGAAAAACGGGGCUUGGGAGCACUUACUAUUGAGCUUGGAAAGCUUGAAACCCUAGCUAUGGAGAACCCCAAAUUUUUGGUUGGAUGAAGGAGAAAAAUGGCUGAUUUUGGCUUGAUUUUUCCAAUUUUAAUUCAUUAAAAUGACAAAUGACUAAAAUACCCUUAUGCCCUUUCUUUAAAAUUUCAUCCAUGCAAGCCCAUUUUUGUCCAAAAAUUUAAAAUUUGGACAAAUUGCUCUCCAAGACCUUUUAAUUCAUAAUCUAAAGUAAUUUCAUACAAAUUGCUUCUAGAAAUCAAGUUUUGCAAUAUAUUCAAUUUAGUCCCUAAUUUCCAAUUGAACACCUUAUACUUAAAAUUUCUUCAUGAAACUUUAACAAAUGCUUAUACUCAUAUUCUAGGCCUCAUAAUAAUCAUAAAAUAAAUAUUUUGAUGUCAGAUUUGUGGUCCCGAAACCACUAUUCCUACUAGGCCCUAUUUCGGGAUGUUACACUACUCGGGACCCACUCGAGUCCAUUAACCAACACUAGGAAAAUGACCUUUGACACACCCGUGUGGAUGGGCAACACGCCCGUGGAACUUGAACAUGGUCGUGCUGAUGGCCGGUGUGACACACAAGGCCUAAGCACCUAGGGACACGCUCGUGUCCUAUACCCGUGUAGAUUUAUUUUUUAAUUCAAACCUACAAGGGUUUUCACGUGUCCAUGGCCCGUGUCCCUCACAUUUCCUCCACACGCCCGUAUCUCAGCUCGUAUUUGAAAACCUUGACAUUUUGUUUCUGACGUCAGCAAUCCUUAAGGGUCACACGGCCAAGGCACACGCCCGUGUGCUAGGCGGUACCCUUCACACGGCUGAGACACACGGCCGUGUCUCUGCCUGCGUGUUUACUACCAUGCAUACUGACUUGCAAUUUUUACAUGCAGGGGACACACGGCCGGAUAACAUGCUCAUGGGGCUGGCCAUGUGUCACACACGGCCUAGACAAACGCAUGUGUGUCUACCCAUGUGGACAAUAUGAAGCUAUCUAUCAAGCCUUUUGCCACCCUAAAACAUAAUUUAAUGCCAACCAACAUAUCAAAAUCUAACUUAAUAUGAUUUCUCGACCAAACAACCAUAGCUAAGGCUUAUAUACAUUUCAUUUAAUCAAACUUGCCAACAAUUUCACAUUCAUGAAAGACUAUCUUACAUUCUUAUAACAACUUUCAAUAUUAGCCAUUUUUCAUGGCCUUAUACAAAAUGAAUCAAAUGCUAGGGUAAGCCAUCACAUUUGGCCAAUUAACAAUGACACAAAACUCAAAAGUCUAAGUUCCUAUACAUGCCAUAUUCAAAAUGAUAAAUCUAAUUAUACCGAGUGCUUCAGCUGAUGGUGUGAUCGAUGCCUCCGACAUCUAUUGAUCCUCGAGAUAGUUAGUUGGUAGUAUAAGAAAAUGGAAAAGAAAGAGAGUAAGCAUAAAGCUUAGUAAGUUGCAUGCAAAGAAAUAUAACAACCACUUUACCAUUCAUCAUCAUGCUUAUAGUACAAAAGUAGGCAUAAGCACAACUUACUCAUCACUAACCAAUACAAUUCACAUAUCAUAUAUAUUGAGCUCACGUCUCAUACAUUUCAAAUAGGUACCUGUACCGCUCACAACAUGGUUAUACUUUUCUCAUUUAACUCAAACUGUAACACUCACCGUUGAACCAUUUGGAAAGCUAUCGAAUAUUCAUUAAGCCUUAAACAUAGCAUAUAAUGCUGAUGCCAUGUCCCAGACAUGGUCUUACACUGAGUAUCGAAAUCGACGCCGACGCCAUGUCCCAAACAUGGUCUUACACUAGCUCUCACAUAUCCGUGCCGAUGCCAUGUCCCAGACAUGGUCUUACACUGACACAUCUCGUAGCCGAUGCAUGUCCCAGACAUGUCUUACACUGGCUUACAUCUUGAGGCCGAUGAUGUCCCGGACAUGUCUUACACUACCUCUCGUCUCAAUGUCAAUGCCAUGUUCAGACAUGGUCUUACACUGGCUCUCAUAAUGUGGCCGAUGCAUGUCCCAGACAUGUCUUACACCAACACACAAAUAACCUGAAUGUCAUGGCAUGAAUAUCCGAUUUAUUUCUUAAGGUUCAAACAAGAGUUUUACUAUCUCAAUAUUCAACAUACAUAAUCAUUUCCACAAACAAGUAAUUUAUGCUAUAUCAAUUCAAACACAUAUAAUAACAAUGUAGUUGUAUUAUUUACAUACAACUUACCUCAGAUUACAAAAUGUAGACGACUAGUUCGGCUUAGUCCACUUGUUUUGCUUUUCCCCGGUCUAGGCCCAGAUUUUGUAAUUCUUGAUCUAAAAUGAUGAAAAUUCACACAUUUAAUCAUUUUAUUAAUCUAGGUACUCAAAAAUUUAAAAAUUAGGCAAAAUGACUAUUUUACCCCUAGACUUUUUCAAAAUGACCAUUUUACCCCUAGGUCCAAAAAUCGAUUUUUAUCGAACUUCUUCAUAUCUUAAGCCCAACCGAACCUUUUUUACUCUUAUAGCAACCCAAAAUUUCCAUUAUUUCUCACAUUUAUCAUCAAAUUUUAACUUAUGCAAAAUGGUCCCUAGUUAGGGUUUCCAUGAUAACUACUUCACAAAAGUUGUUUAUUACACCACCAUAACUCAUUUUCUUCCAUCAACUUUCAGAAAACAACAUGAACACACUCAUGGUAAAACCCUAGAAUUUCAACCAUUUUGCAAAAUAGUCCCCUCAUUUAGAAGCUCGUGCUACAAGGUUUCCAAAAAUACAAAAAAAAUAUCAAGAAAAGUCAUCAAAACCACAUACUUGUAAGGAGAUUAAGUGGCUAAAAUUUUUCAAGCUUCCAAAACCCUCCUAUUGCUGGUAUUUUUGGUCAAGAAGAAAGGAUGAAUGAAAAAGAUGAAGGCUAGGCUUUAGGGUAUUAUUUUAUCACACAUUAGGUCAUCAAAUACCUAAUACUUUGACAAUUUUAUUUUCCUUGUCUCAUGCCUAAGUUAUUCUUGCAUUACAAUUGUGAGGUAGCUAAUGAAUUGAUUAUUUAAAUGGAUUGAAAUUGUAAUUAAUUGACACACUACUUAAUCAGUGCAUGUUUAUUCUUCUAAAGUAGCUGAAAGUUAAAUUAGAAAUGUAUCUGGCGAUACACUUGCCUUGCAUAACUUGCAAGAUUAUUGUGAUUAAAUUGUUUCAAGGUAAGGAUACCUUGUUAACUCACGUAGUCUUUUAUAUGCUCUUUAGAUUUUAUUAAUCGUUUGAAUUGACAUAAGGAUAUGCAAGAGAUUAGUUCAAUUUAAUGAGUAUGUAUGUGCCAUAACAUGUUUGUUUAUUAAAAUCUGUUUAAUCGUUUGAAUUAACAUAGGUAUAUGUUAAGAGAUGAAUGAAUUUGUGUAGGUGAAUAUGUUCACAAGUUAGCAAAUUACCGAGUUGCCGUGAAUUUAUUCGUAACAACAUAAGCAUGAGCUUAAUAAUUCUAAGUUAAAGAAAUGUAAUUAAAUCAACACAAUUAUGUCAUCUUGAUUAAAUCAUAUUUUGAAAUCGUGCAUUUGAGAUUUAUUUCUUAAGUUUACUUAGUUUAAAAUCUUAGUUUUUAAUUACCCUCUCCAAACAAAAUAUUUUUCUUCACCAAAGUGUUUAAAUUGUGUUCAUAAAUAAUCCUUUUUACAGUCCCUGUGGGUACGAUAACUCGACAUGUACUUAUCGCUUUAUUACUUGUUGCGACUGUGUACACUUGCACAUUUCUGUCGUUCCAAGUUUUUAGCGUUGUUACCGGGGACUGUUUUAAAAGACAUUAUUUGCGAAAUUGUUAAUUUUGCAUUUUGGCCUUUUUUUCUGUUAAAUUUUAAUUCCUUUUUUUUGUUUCAGGUGUUUAUGAGUAUUGAUCAAAUUUUUGACUUACUUCCUAUAAACCUUGAAAUUGAAAGGACUUUUUGACAAAAGAGAAGACAAGCGAACCAAAAAAGGACCGAAGAUAUGAAUUUCGAAAAUCUAGGAGGAACAUUCGUUUUUAAUACUCACAAUCCGAUCAUUGUUGCCGAUGACAGAAACUGUGCCAUUCAACAAUAUGCCAUUCCUCUAUUCAAUGAGCUCAAUUCGAGUAUUAGGAGUGUAAUGGCCUAAAUUCAAAAUUAUCGGAACAGUGGUUUCGUAACCACAAAUCCGAUUUAAAGAGAAAUUUAUUUCAAUAUUUUUACAUGAAAAUUGAUAUGAUAGGAAAAUCGUAUGAAAAUAUUCAUAGAAAAAAUUUACCGAUUUAGUGAUUAGAUAGAAAAAGAAAUUAUUGAAGAAAUUGGGUAAAAACAAGGUAUCAAGACCUCUAUCUCGUAAAACCGAGUCAAAAAUAAUUUUAUAAAUAUUUAUGAAAUGUUAUUAAUAUGGUAUUAAAAUUUCAUUAGGAAAUUUUAAUGUUUGGGUAGUCAAUUAAAUGAAAAGGACUAAAUUGUAAUAGGUGUAAAAGUUGCUAGAAUGAUUAAAUAGCUUAAAAGUCUAAUGAGAAAGGGUUUAAAAGGAAUUAGACCCAAAAGUUAUUUGGGCUGGACGACAAGGGUAUGAAAUCAGCAGAAAAAUUGAUAAAUUAAGGGUAAAAUUGGAAUAUUGCAAAAUUAACUAAAUAAAGCUAGGACUAAAUAGGAAAUAUCUAGAUUUCUCUUCAUUUCUCUUCAAUUCCAGCAGCUAAAAAUGCCAUAGGAGGGUUCUCUACGCUGGUAUUUCAUAAUUUUUGCACCAAGUGAGUUAAUCCUUGCCUUUUUCUUGUAAUUUUUGUGUUUCUAAGACUUUUACAACUAGGUCCUACUAUUAAAUUCAUUAGUUUUUGAUUUCAUGGAUGAAAUUGAAAGUCACCAUGGUUGAGUGCUGUAAGUUUAUGAUGAAAUAGAACAAAAUUAAAGCUUUAAUUUGUUUAUGAGAUGAUUUUAUUAGGUAAUUUCAAUAGAAAUUGAUUUUUAGGACCUAAUUGUGAAAAUGCUUGGAAUUAAAGUCUAUUGCUGAAAUUCUGAUUCCUAAAGGUUGUAAACUAGUUUAAGGUGAUAGAAUAAAAUUUUAAUUGAGAAAAAUCAGCUCAAUUGAGAGGCUAAUUGAGUAGGGAUGAAAUUAUCAUUUAUUAAAAGCUUAGGGGAAAAAUGGUAAUAAACAGCUUGCACAAAAACAGUUUGGACAGCAGCAGUAGACUAACUUUGAAAAAUCACCAUAAAUUGUAGAAAUCGAAUUAGAAGAUGAAAAAAAUAUUGCAUUAAAUCUUAUUGAGUCUAGUUUCUCAUAGAAGAAAUAGUGUAAGCAAUGGAUUUGUAAAUUUUGAGAUAUAAUGAAUUUUGUGAGACAAGGUCAGAAUGAAUUAGGGUUCCCCAGUUCUGACUUUGAAAAAUCAUAAAAAUUUGAAGCAAAAGAAUUAUGGGCUUAAAUUUAUAUGUCUAGAAUCCUUAAUGAGUUUAUUUUUAAUAGAAACAAACUAGAACAUUAUUUUAAUUAUGUAUGAAGAGAUAAUUAAUUUUUAGUGAAGAAGGGUUAGAACUGUCGAUAGCAGAACAGGGGUGACUUUAAAGAAUAAACUGUACUUAUUAGCUAAACCAAAAAGUCUGAAAAUUUUAUGGUAAAAAUAUAUAUGAGUCUAGUUUCAGGAAAAAUUAACAGAUCUUAAUUUGGAGUUCCGUAGCUCAAGUUAUAAAUAAUUUAGUGACUAUGACUCAAGUAGACAGCUUUGAAUGAACUAUAAAUAAUAGUUGAAUUAUAGAGAACGUUGCAUAUGAACAUGAAAUGUAUUAAAUUGAUAAUUAAAUUUAUUUAUUUAAAUUCGGAAGAUUCAAAUAGGAGGCUAGAUUGAGGAAAGGAAAAAGUUCGGGAUUAGUAGAUUUUUAUUGUUUACAAACAAGUAUCAAGUUAAGUUCAUGUAACUUGAAUUAUAUUCUUAAAUGAUUGAGAUUGUAUGUUAUUUAUGUGAAAAUGAUUUGAAUGUUCAUUGUAUGAAAAUUUAUGAAACAUUGAUAUAUUUGAUAAAAUGGGAAGAAAUCCCAGUUGAAUGAAAGGAAAAUUCAAUGGAUCUCUGAAAAGGAAUUGACGGUUAAAAGGAUCUAGCCCGGACGGGUGAUCCUAUCUUGAUAUAGCCCUCCCGACGAAUAUGUGUAAAAUGGAUUUAGCCCGGACGGGUAAUCCGAAUUAGGGUCUAAAUUUAGCCUGGACUGGUAAUUCAGAUCCAAGCUCAUUAGAGUAAUUGUCGUUGCAGGGGAUUUAGCCUGGACUGGUAAUCCCGACAAUACUCUAUAAGUUUAUAUUGCGGGGGAUUUAGCCUGGACUGGUAAUCCCGCUGCAAGGUUGAGGUUCGCGGAGUGUGCUCUCUGAAAUGGAAAUGUGCACACAUGAAUAUGAAUUGACGGACCCGGAAUUGUACAAUAAAUGUGUACCUUUGAAAAUCCAUCGAAAUUCUGAUAAAUUCAACGGGAUAAAUACGAAAAAAUAAAAAGAAAAUGAAAAUCAUGGUAUUGACGAGCUCAUUAAUCAUGGUAUAUAUUAUUGAUACAUGGAAAUUAUUGUACUAACUUGAAUGUUGAGUUUGUGCAUGUUAGGGUAAUAAUGCAUUGAAUGGAUAUAUGAAUGUUUAUUAUAUUGUAUUGAAAAUAUUAGGUAAGUAUAAUUCUUGUUACAUGAGCUUACUAAGCACAAAGUGCUUACCCCGUUUCCUUUUUCCCUAUUUUGUAGUGUUAAGAGCUCGAAGGUCGGAUUUAGUCAGAGACACAUCCAUUGUCAACCUCAGGAUUUCGGUAUAUAAAGAAACUUUAUUUUGGAAAUCAAUGGCAUGUAUAAGCUAACAAAGUAAAUGUUAACGUGAAAUGAAUGUUAAGUUAGCCAUUAGUAUGGUUAACAAACCUGGUUUUAGAUAUGUGAUGACGUUAUGUUAUAAAUAUGCAUUAAUUUAUCUUGAAAAUAUGUUGAAUUGAUUUGGUUGAUGUGGAUUGGUCUCGAUUUAAUAUUGCAGGGAAGGUUAGAUAUUUAUAAAGGGGCUAUAUUGAAUAUAAAAAAAUUUAAUUCGUAAACUCCGGUAAUGCCUCGUACCCUAUUCCGGCAAUGAAUACGGGUAGGGGUAUUACAUUUAUUGGUAUUAGAGCUACGGUUUAGCCGGUUCUAGGACCGAUGUAGCAAAUACGGGAUUAGUUAUACAUGCUAUUUAAAUUAUUAUUGAUAGUGUGAUAUCUCCUGACCAUUUAAAAUGUGUUUUUCUUAUAGUAAUGACAUCCGACCGAGCUCAAUCUGAGGAAGCUGGGAGUCAUGCUCCGGCUUCAAUACAAAGAGAAGAAACUAGCAGUAGAAGGCCCGAGACAGAGGGUCGAGGGGAGGAGGCAAAAACAGCCUUCUUUCAAAUGAUGAAUGAAUGGUUUAAUCAAUAUUUAAGAACUAACCCUGGACUACAGCAAGUUCAAGCUCCCCCUCCUGCUCCUUCACCGGUUCUCGAGAUCCCACAGGGUGCAGGUACUGAAUCUGUCAAAAAAGGAAAAGCUCCAGUAGAUAAAAUUCGAAAAUAUGGGGCCGAAGAAUUUUGAGCAGCAGUUGAUGAUGAUUCUGAACGGGCUGAAUUCUGGUUAUAAAACACUACUUGGGUUCUGGAAGAAUUAUCUUGUACACCAGAAGAAUGUCUGAAAUGUGCCGUCUCACUGCUAAAAGACACAGCUUACCAUUGGUGGAAUACUAAAGCUUCAGUUGUUCCGAAAGAAGAAAUUACAUUGGAAUUCUUUCAGACCGAGUUCAGAAAAAAAUAUAUCAGCCAGAGGUUUCUCGAUCAGAAAAGAAAAAAAUUUCUUGAGUUGAAACAGGGUAACAGAUCAGUAUCUGAAUAUGAAAGAGAAUUUGUUCAAUUGAGUAAAUAUGCUCGAGAAUGGGUACAGUCAGAAGCUGAAAUGUGCAAACGAUUCGAAGAAGGGUUAAAUGAAGACAUUAAACUACUGAUCGGAAUUCUUGAAAUUUAGGAGUUUGCUACAUUGGUAGAGAGAGCUUAUAAAGCAGAAGAAUUGAGCAAAGAAAAGAAACAGGCUGAGAGGGAAGCUUGAAUUUUUAGUAAAAGACCGAUGGGAAAAUCCCAGUUUUCUACUUCAAAGAAAUUGAAGAAGUACCAGGAUCGUUCUACUUCAGCCAUUGGGUAUUCGGGCAGAGAGCGAGGUUCUCAACACACUAAUCCAAGACCUUCUACUCCAUCAGUGACCAGUGUUGGUAGUGUUGGCACUCCUAAGCCGAGAUGCCAGUACUGUAAUAAAGCUCAUUUUGGUGAAUGUCGAUUAAAGAGCGGGGCUUGUUAUCGAUGUGGUUCUUUUGACCAUUUCCUCAGAGAUUGUCCAGAAAGAGGUGAAAAUGAAGCUGAACAGAUAUCGAAGCCGAGUAAUCCAGUUUCGAGAGGUAGACCACCUCGACCAUCUGGUUAUGUCAGUGGUAGCUAAGGAGCUACGAAAGAUAUUGCAGGCAGGUCUGAAGCACGAGCACCUGCUAGGACAUAUUCCAUUCGUGCCAGAGAAGAUGCCUCAGCACUUGAUAUUAUUACUGGUACAUUUUCUUUACUUGAUACUGAUAUUACUGCAUUAAUUGAUCCUGGUUCUACGCAUUCAUAUAUAUGUGUUAAACUUUCAAUUGUUAAAAAUUUACCUGUUGAACCUACUGAAUUUGUGGUUAAAGUCUCGAACCCCCUAGGCCAGUCUGUGUUGGUGGAUAAAAUUUGUAAAAAUUGUCCACUGAUGGUAAGAGGUUAUUAUUUCCCGGCUGAUUUGAUGUUACUGCCAUUUGAUGAAUUUGACGUGAUAUUGGGCAUGGAUUGGUUAACCCAGCAUGAUGCGGUAGUAAAUUGUAGACAAAAAUAUAUUAUGCUAAAAUGUCAGAAUGGUGAGUUGCUCCGGGUUAAAUCUGAUCAGACAGAGGGGUUAUCUGAUGUGAUUUCAGUAAUGGCAGCACAAAGGUAUGUCAAAAAAAGGUAUGAUGCUUACUUGGCUUAUGUACUCGACACCAAGGUAUUUGAGUCAAAGAUACAGGCAGUUCCAGUGGUAUGUGAAUUUUUCGAUGUGUUUCCAGAGGAAUUACCAGGAUUGCCACCAGAAAGAGAAGUGAAAUUUUCUAUAGAUUUGAUUCCGGGAACUACUCCGAUCUCCAUAGCUCCAUAUCGUAUGGCUCUUACAGAAUUAAAGGAGUUAAAGACACAGUUGCAAGAACUUGUUGACAGGGGUUUUGUCCGACCGAGUCAUUCACCUUGGGGUGCUCCGAUUCUGUUUGUGAGAAAGAAAGAUGGGUCUUUGAGAUUGUGUAUCGACUACCGGCAGCUUAAUAAAGUAACCAUAAAGAAUAAGUACCCGUUACCCCGAAUUGAUGAUUUAUUUGAUCAACUGAAAGGUGCUACUGUGUUUUCAAAUAUUGAUCUUCGAUCGGGUUAUUUUCAGUUACGAGUAAAGGAGUCAGAUGUGCCAAAAACAGCCUUUAGAACUAGGUACGGGCAUUAUGAGGUUCUAGUUAUGCCGUUUGGGCUAACUAAUGCACCUGCAGUAUUCAUGGAUUUGAUGAACCGGAUAUUCAGAUCGUACUUAGACAGAUUUUUAGUAGUAUUCAUUGAUGAUAUUUUGGUUUAUUCUCGGGAUGAAGAAGAACAUGCAGAACAUUUGAGAAUUGUGUUGCAAAUUCUGCGAGAGAAGCAGUUAUAUGCUAAAUUCAGUAAGUGUGAAUUUUGGCUUUGAGAAGUGGGUUUUCUAGGACAUAUUGUAUCUGCCGAAGGCAUCAGGGUAGAUCCAAGUAAAAUCUCAGCUAUUGUCAAUUGGAGUCCACCGAAGAAUGUAUCUGAAGUUAGAAGUUUCUUGGGUUUAGCUGGUUAUUAUCGGAGAUUUGUACAGGGAUUCUCUAUGAUAGCUUCUCCAAUGACUCGAUUAUUGCAGAAAGAUGUAAAGUUCGAGUGGACUGAUGAAUGUCAACAAAGUUUCAACCGAUAGAAAGACCUAUUAACGAAAGCACCUGUAUUAGUGCAGCCUGAAUCCGGUAAGGAAUUUGUUAUUUAUAGUGAUGCCUCAUUAAAUGGUUUAGGUUGUGUUUUGAUGCAAGAAGGUAAAGUAAUAGCCUAUGCUUCAAGACAACUUAAACCACAUGAAAGAAAUUAACCAGUACAUGAUCUUAAAUUAGCUGCUAUUGUAUUUGCGCUGAAGAUAUGGCGGAAUUACUUGUACGGUGAGAAAUGUCAUAUUUAUAUUGAUCAUAAAAUCUUGAAAUAUUUGAUGACACAGAAAGAUCUGAAUUUGAGACAGCGCAGGUGGCUUGAACUGAUAAAGGACUAUGAUUUGAUUAUUGAUUACCAUCCGGGUAAGGCUAAUGUUGUAGCUGAUGCUUUGAGCCAGAAAUCUCUAUUUGCUUUACGAGCUAUGAAUACCCGGUUAUUAUUGACUGAUGAUGGUUCAAUCCUAGCAGAAUUAAGAGCUAAACCGACAUUUUUACAGCAAAUAUGUGAAGCUCAGAAGAAUAAUGAGAAGUUACAAGUUAAACGGGCACAGUGUGAGUCAUGUAAUGAUUCUGAAUUUCAGAUUGGUUCUGAUGGUUGUUUAUUAUUCAGAGGUAGGGUAUGUGUACCUCAGAAUUCAGAGCUCAUACAAAAGAUUCUAUGCGAGGCUCACAGCAGUACUAUGUCUGUACAUCCGGGGAGUAAUAAAAUGUAUAAUGAUCGGAAAAAGAUGUACUGGUGGUCGGGAAUGAAACGUGAUAUCUCUGAGUUUGUAUCAAGGUGUUUAAUAUGUCAGAAAGUUAAAGCUGAACAUCAGGUACCUUCGGGGUUACUUCAGCCAAUUACUAUACCGGAAUGGAAAUGGGAAAGAAUCACUAUGGAUUUUGUAUCGGGGUUACCUUUGUCUCCGAGGAAAAAAGAUGCUAUUUGGGUGAUUGUAGACCAAUUGACAAAGUCAGCUCACUUUAUUCCAGUACGUAUGGAUUAUUCUUUAGAUAAACUAGCUGAAUUGUACAUAUCUGAGAUUGUCAGACUACAUGGAGUGCCUGUCUCCAUUAUAUCAGAUAGAGAUCCCCGAUUUACGUCUCGUUUCUGGGACAAAUUGCAAGAAGCCUUGGGUACUCAGUUGUAUUUUAGUACUGCAUUUCAUCCUCAGACAGAUGGUCAAUUUGAGCGUGUAAUUCAAGUAUUGGAAGAUAUGCUCCGAUGUUGUAUACUAGAGUUUGAAGGUAAUUGGGAGAGGUAUCUACCUUUGAUUGAAUUUGCUUACAAUAACAGUUAUCAGUCCAUUAUUAAAAUGGCUCUUUAUGAAGCUUUGUAUGGUAGAAAAUGUAGAACACUGUUAUAUUGGACAGAGCUUAGUGAAAGGAAGAUACAUGGGAUUGAUUUGAUUCGGGAAACAGAAGAAAAAGUAAAGGUUAUUCGAGAUAGUCUAAAAGCAGCUUCCGAUCGUCAAAAAUCAUAUGCCGACCUUAAACGAAAAGAGAUUGAAUUUCAAGUCGGUGACAAGGUAUUCCUAAAAGUGUCUCCUUGGAAGAAAGUCCUUCGAUUUGGUUGAAAGGGUAAACUCAGUCCAAGAUUUAUCGGGCCAUAUGAAAUCAUAGAAAGAAUUGGACCGGUCGCUUAUCGAUUGGCAUUAUCACCGGAACUUGAUAGAAUCCAUAAUGUUUUUCAUGUAUCUAUGUUACGACGAUAUCGAUCAGAUCCUUCACAUGUUAUUUCUCCGACAGAAGUGGAGAUUCAACCGAAUAUGACUUACAGUGAAGAACUAGUCAAGAUAUUCGCACGAGAGACAAAAGAGCUUAGAAAUAAAAAGAUAAAUUUGGUGAAAGUAUUGUGGCAAAAGCACGGGAUUGAGGAAGCGACAUGGGAACCGGAGGAGGCAAUGAGGAAACAAUACCCAAAUCUCUUUACUGGUAAGAUUUUCGAGGACGAAAAUCCUUAAAGGGGGGAGAGUUGUAAUGGCCUAAAUUCAAAAUUAUCGGAACAGUAGAUUUGUAACCACAAAUCUAAUUUAAAGAGAAAUUUAUUUUAAUAUUUUUGCAUGAAAAUUGAUAUGAUAGGAAAAUCAUAUGAAAAUAUUAAUAGAAAAAUUUUACCGAUUUAGUGAUUAGAUAGAAAAAGAAAUUAUUGAAGAAUUUGGAUAAAAACAAGGUAUCAAGACCUCUAUCUCGUAAAACCGAGUCAAAAAUAAUUUUAUAAAUAUUUAUGAAAUGUUAUUAAUGUGGUAUUAAAAUUCCGUUAGGAAAUUUUAAUGUUUGGGUAGUCAAUUAAAUGAAAAGGACUAAAUUGUAAUAGGUGUAAAAGUUGCUAGAAUGAUUAAAUAGCUUAAAAGUCUAAUUAGAAAGGAUUUAAAAGGCAAUUAGACCCAAAAUUUAUUUGGGAUGGACGGCAAGGGUAUGAAAUCUGCAGAAAAAUUGAUAAAUUAAGGGUAAAAUUGGAAUAUUGCAAAAUUAACUAAAUAAAACUAGGACUAAAUAGGAAAUAUCUAGAUUUCUCUUCAUUUUUCUUCAAUUCCAGCAGCUAAAAACGCCAUAGAAGGGUUCUCUAAGCUGGUAUUUCAUAAAUUUUGCACCAAGUGAGUUAACCCUUGCCUUUUUCUUGUAAUUUUUGUGUUUCUAAGACUUUUACAACUAGGUCCUACUAUUAAAUUCAUUAGUUUUUGAUUUCAUGGAUGAAAUUGAAAGUCACCAUGGUUGAGUGCUGUAAGUUUAUGAUGAAACAGAAUGAAAUUAAAGCUUUAAUUUGUUUAUGAGAUGAUUUUAUUAGGUAAUUUCAAUAAAAAUUGAUUUUUAGGACCUAAUUGUGAAAAUGCUUGGAAUUAAAGUCUAUUGCUGAAAUUCUGAUUCCUAAAGGUUGUAAACUAGUUUAAGGUAAUAGAAUAAAAUUUUAAUUGAGAAAAAUCAGCUCAAUUGAGAGGCUAAUUGAGUAGGGACGAAAUUAUCAUUUAUUAAAAGCUUAGGGGAAAAAUGGUAAUAAACAGCUUGCACAAAAACAGUUUGGACAGCAGCAGUAGACUAACUUUGAAAAAUCACCAUAAAUUUUAGAAAUCGAAUUAGAAGAUAAAAAAAAUAUUGCAUUAAAUCUUAUUGAGCCUAGUUUCUCAUAGAAGAAAUAGUGUAAGCAAUGGAUUUGUAAAUUUUUAGAUAUAAUGAAUUUUGUGAAACAAGGUCAGAAUGAAUUAGGGUUCCCCUGUUCUGACUUUGAAAAAUCAUAACAAAUUGAAUAAAAACAAUUAUGGGCUUAAAUUUAUAUGUAUAGAAUCCUUAAUGAGUCUAUUUUUAAGAGAAACAAAUUAUAACAUUAUUUUAAUUCUUUAGGAACAGAUAAUUAGUUUUUAGUGAAGAAGGGUCAGAACUGUCGACAGCAGAACAGGGGUGACUUUAAAGAAUAAACUGUACUUAUUAGCUAAACCAAAAAUUCUGAAAAUUUUAUGGUAAAAAUAUAUAUGAGUCUAGUUUCAGAAAAAUUAACAGAUCUUAAUUUGGAGUUCCGUAGCUCAAGUUAUAAAUAAUUUAGUGACUAUGACUCAAGUAGACAGCUUUGAAUGAACAAUAAAUAAUAGUUGAAUUAUAGAGAAUGUUGCAUAUGAACAUGAAAUGUAUUAAAUUGAUAACUAAAUUUAUUUAUUUAGAUCCGGAAGAUUCAAAUAGGAAGCUAGAUCGAGGAAAGGAAAAAGUUCGGGAUUAGUAGAUUUUUAUUGUUUACAAACAAGUAUCAAGGUAAGUUCAUGUAACUUGAAUUAUAUUCUUAAAUGAUUGAGAUUGUAUGUUAUUUAUGUGAAAAUGAUUUGAAUGUUCAUUGUAUGAAAAUUUAUGAAACAUUGAUAUAUUGGAUAAAAUGGGAAGAAGUCCCAGUUGAAUGAAAGGAAAAUUCGAUGGAUCUCUGAAAAGGAAUUGACGGAUAAAAGGAUCUAGCCCGGACGGGUGAUCCUAUCUUGAUAUAGCCUUCCCGAAGAAUAUGUGUAAAAUGAAUUUAGCCCGGACGGGUAAUCCGAAUUAGGGUCUGAAUUUAGCCUGGACUGGUAAUUCAGAUCCAAGCUCAUUAGAGUAAUUGUCGUUGCAGGGGAUUUAGCCUGGACUGGUAAUCCCGACAAUACUCUAUAAGUUUAUAUUGCAGGGGAUUUAGCCUGGAUUGGUAAUCCCGCUGCAAGGUUGAGGUUCGCGGAGUGUGCUCUCUGAAAUGGAAAUGUGCACACAUGAAUAUGAAUUGACGGACCCGGAAUUGUACAAUAAAUGUGUACCUCUGAAAAUCCAUCGAAAUUCUGAUAAAUUCAACGGGAUAAAUACGGAAAAAUAACAAGAAAAUGGAAAUCAUGGUAUUGACGAGCUCAUUAAUCAUGGUAUAUAUUAUUGAUACAUGGAAAUUAUUGUACUAACUUGAAUGUUGAGUUUGUGCAUGUUAGGGUAAUAAUGCAUUGAAUGGAUAUAUGAAUGUUUAUUAUAUUGUAUUGAAAAUAUUAGGUAAGUAUAAUUCUUGUUACAUGAGCUUACUAAGCACAAAGUGCUUACCCCGUUUCCUUUUUCCCUAUUUUGUAGUGUUAAGAGCUCGGAGGUCGGAUUUAGUCGGAGACACAUCGCACUGUCAACCUCAGGAUUUCGGUAUAUAAAGAAACUUUAUUUUGGAAAUCAAUGGCAUGGAUAAGCUAACAAAGUAAAUGUUAACGUGAAAUGAAUGUAAAGCUAGCCAUUAGUAUGGUUAACAAACCUGGUUUUAGGUAUGUGAUGACGUUAUCUUAUAAAUAUGCAUGAAUUUAUCUUGAAAAUAUGUUGAAUUGAUUUGGUUGAUGUGGAUUGGUCUCGAUUUAAUAUUGCAGGGAAGGUUAGAUAUUUAUAAAGGGGCUAUAUUGAAUAUAAAAAAAAUUUAAUUCGUAAACUCCGGUAAUACCUCGUACCCUAUUCCGGCAAUGAAUAUGGGUAGGGGUAUUACAAGGAGACCCAAAAUCGAGGCACAACAAUUCAAGCUGAAGCCGAUCAUGUUCCAAAUGUUGCAAAAUAUGGGUCAAUUUAGUGGGGUUCCUAUUGAAGAUCCACAUCUUCAUCUUCGGCUAUUUAUGGAAGUGAAUGACUCAUUUAAAUUAGUCGGGGUGACCGAGGAUGCCUUGAGAUUGAGAUUAUUUUCAUACUCCUUAAGAGAUAGAGCACGAGCAUGGUUGAACUCCCUACCGUCUAGUUCCAUAACUACAUGGCAAGAGUUGGUUGAACAUUUCUUAAUGAAAUAUUUCUCUCUAUCUUUAACCGCCAAGAUCUGAAAUGAAAUCACAUCAUUUCAGCAACUUGAUGAGGAAUCUUUAUAUGACGCAUGGGAGCAGUUCAAGGAGUUACUACGAAAGUGCCUUCAUCAUGGCAUUCCUUGCUGCAUUUAAAUAGAGACUUUCUAUAUUGGUCUCAAUAUUCAUACUAGAAUGAUGGUAGAUGCUUCGACAAAUGGAGCCCUUCUUUCUAAGUCUUAUAAUGAUGCUUAUGAGAUUAUUGAAAGAAUUUCCAACAAUGACUAUCAGUGGCCAACCAACCGAGCAGCCUCAAAAAGAUGAGUAACAGGAGUACAUGAAGCGGACACACUUGCUUCUUUGGCAGCCCAGGUAUCCUCUAUGUCUUCUAUGCUUAAGAACAUAAUUGUUAAUGGUUUCAAUGGUAAUUUUCCAGGUUAGUAGCUGAAUCAGUUCAAGAAUAUUUCUUGUGAAUAUUGUGGAGAUGCCCAUUUCUUUGAAAAUUGCCCAUUGAAUCAAUAUUCAAAUUAUUACAUGGAAAUCAGAAUUGGAAUGGUCUGCAAUCAAAUUUUUACAACUCUUCAUGGCAGAAUCAUCCAAUUUCUGCAUGGAGUGAUCAAUGGGCGGACCAUACCGACUCUGUUAUGCCAUUUCGACCAAGUUCUUCGUCGGAAUAUUCUCAACAAGUGCAACAACCCUCACCAACUGAAUCUUCAAGUGAUCUUGAGAAUUUGCUGAAGGCAUACAUAGCGAAGAAUUAUACCACUUUAAGAAAUCUGAAGAAUCAAAUGGGUCAAUUAACCAAUGAACUUCAAAAUAAACCCCAAGGUAUUUGGCCAAGCGACACAGAAAAUCCAAAAAUUUUGGGCAAAGAACAUUGCAAAACAGUCUCUUUGCCAAGUGGAAAGACAUUGGAGCCCAAUGUGGAUAGAUUUGAUGGGAAAGAAUAUGACUACUUCCUAGAAGAUUAUGGUGGGUAUGACAAAUGACCAUUUGACACCACCAUGGUCAAUGACGAUCCUAAAUAAAAUGGAGGGAGUUCUCUUCACUUUCUCUAUCGUUAUUUUAUAUUUUUAGUUUUUUUUUCUCAUUUGAAUAAAAUGGUAGACUUAGAUAAAAUUUCAUUUAGUUCAUUACAUUAAUUAAAACUCUUUCUAGGAGAUUGGGUCUUAAGCGAGACCAUCCGUGACCCCUUCAGUCUUUCCUGGGAGUUUAAUUUAAUGUUAUUUUUCAAAAAAAAAUAUUUUUUAAGUAGCCCAAAGAAUUUAAGUAUUUUUUUUGUUAAAUAAAGGGUCAAAUUUUAACCCAAACACUAAUUUCUUUGAGUUUUUUUAUUUAUUUUCAGUAUAGGAGCUUAGGAUCCAAAAAGGAGCUGCCAUUGGGCUCAAGACAGUACUAAGAAGGGAAAUUUUCAACCCUUUUCCACACAAACCUAUAGCCCUUACCUUACUCCACCACCACUCCCAAGUAGCCCCAAAGUGCAUCUCACUUAACCCCUUAAUGUUGCAGCCCUUAACUCCUUAAAUCACCGCCCCAAACACCUUCAUUCGAAGUCACCAACUACCGCACCUAAACUAUCCUUAAAACUGCCACCCUCUUCAACUCUAAACUUUACCCUCAACUACUCACCUACCUGCCCAAAACUGAAACGACCCUUAACAAAUUUCCUAAGUUUGAUGGUGAAAGUCUCUUUAUUUAGCACCAUUCCACGAAGUGAACAGUUUGGUAUAAUGGCUAUGCUGCAACAAAUGUAGUUGCAGUAACAAGAUUACUGGAGAUACUCAAUAAUACGGGAUGACUUAAUCAAAUAUGCAUUUAAAAUAUAUAUUUCAUAACCCGUUUAUUUUUGUGCAUGAAUUUCUAGACUUUACACUUGAACCAUGGACUCCAAUGUCGAGGAAGGAAAAAGAUGAGUCAGAUUCUGAGGGAUAUUCAAAUAAAUAAAAAUGGGGAUCUUUACUUUAUUUCAUUUUCUUUCCUAGGUUAUUUAAUGUUUUAGGAUUGGGUUCUAUUAUGAUUUUUAUUUUUCGCAUAAUAAAACAAGAUGUGGAAAUCAUAAAUAAAAAUGAACAAGUUGCAACGUACAAAGUGUGGCAAUAGAUAUAUACAUGUCUAGGAAUGGAUUUAGAGAGAGCUUGGUACUUAAGCAGUCAAAUUGACUCACCUCCUCUUUUCUAGACUACUACCUGGUGUAUAGUAUCUAUUCACUUUUAAUAAUGAGGGCAUUGUUCGUCUUAAGUAGGGGGACCGAAAAAUUGAAAUUAUUUCCAUUCAGAAUAAAAUUUUCUUUCAAUUAUGAUUAGGUUAUAUUUUGUUCAAUAAUUUGAAAUGUUGUUAAGUAAGCUAAACUUCAGUAAAUAAAGUUCAAUUAUUUCAAUAAUUGUUAUGUUAGCUUAAUAAUGACAUAAAUGUAUUUUUAAUAAAGCAUGCAAAUCAUACCAUAAAAUUUUAGUUCCUUAGGAAAGUUAGGCAUGCAUGAAAGUUUAAGUCUUUAGAAUUGACUUAGAAGUUUCUUGAGGCAAAAUCCUAGGAAGCAUGGAGCGUUGAAAAUGAUUUAGGCAACUAUUGUUUGGACUGUUUGAGCCUUUCAAGCUAACCAUGAUGAAAUUUUUAUCCUUUGAAACCUAGCUUUGAGACUAUAUGGCCUAAUUUUAUUUGAACCCUUGCAAAUUUAACUAUCACUUCUCUCUUAACUAUCUUAAAAUUGUCCCAAAUACUAGACUCAUUACUAUUCAAAGUAUUCUUUGAAAAUAAGUUUGGGGGAGUUGAAAAGAAGUAUCAAAUGCUCUAAAAAAUUAUAGUACAUACAGUAAAAUGUUCGAAUUAAAAAAAAAGAAAGGAAGAGCAUGAGUUCUUAAAAUAAGAUGUACAAAAGAGCAUGUGAAAGCAAAGAAAGUUGAUGUAUUGAAGGUAAUUAUUUCGAAGGUCCGAUGCAAGUUGAGUCUAGGGUUUUUAGCCUAAAUUUAUCUAUCUUUUACCUACCCCUAAGCCCAACCACGUUACAACCUUGUUAAAGACCUAUUGAUGCAAGUUCCAAUGCUACGUACAUUAGUGGAGAGAAAUUGAUACGUGCAACAUAUGAAGACAUAAGUUAAACUUAAUGAUUGCAGCUUAAUCUUGAAUAAGGGAAUAAAAUUAAAUUGGUAAGGGUUAACAUGACUUUAUUAGGAAACAUUUAGUCUAAUUUUUUGCCUUUCAUAAGAAUGAUUGAGAUUAAUUUGAAUGGUAUGUAUACUUAGAUAGCAUAAAUAUCGAAUUUCUUGUUCUUGAGCAUAAGUAUACCAAAUUCAUGAUUGUUGGGAAGAAUGUCAUUUUGAAGGACUUUUUCAAAGGUGUCUUCAAAAAAUUCUUUUCAAAUUUGUGCAUUACUCGAGACAACCAAUGAAUUAAGUUUGGGGUGUGGAAACCCGAAAAUUUACACAAAUUUUCAUGCCCUUUUUAACUUAAAUUCAUGUAGUUUCGAUAAAAUUCUUGUCGGAAAAUAAUUAAUUCUUAUAAAAUAAUUAAAGUGUACUUAAAAUAUGAACAUGUUGAAUUUUAAUUAAUUUUAUAAUUAAUUUUGAUGAAUUUUGGUUAUUUUCGACAGAUUUGCACAAAUGGCGAAAAAUGGCUCGACAGACAUUGACAGAAACACAAAACCGAGAAGCAAAUUGAAGUAUCGCGACUUAAUUUUCAACCUAAGAUGGUCCAAAAUUAUGUGUAUUAAUUCAUAAUAUAAUUAAUUUUAAUUUAUAUCCAAUUAAUUUGGGUUAAUAAAUUAUUAUUAAUAAAUUAUGAAAAGUGGUCUAGUUGAGCCGAACUGAGUGAACCGAACCGACCAAGUAAUGGACAGCCCAAACCUGCCCCAUGUGCUGACCCAAAUCAGCUUAUUGGCUGAUUAUUUAGCUUGCAAAGAGGCCCUUGAAGACUUGUUCAAAUAGAAUUCAAAUCCCUCCACAAAUGGUGGCUUUUCUAGAUUUGCCCCAAGCUUAAUUUAGCAAGUUUGAAAUCAUCAAACUUGUCACAUGUGUGGCCAGCCAAGGGAGGGUACUUUGGCUGCUAAUUUUAGCUAUUUUUAUCAGCCCUCUUCAGCUAUAAAACCCCCCUUAAGCUUAUCAUUUGAAACACACCUCAAUUCAUUCACAUCUCUUCUCUCUUUUCUCACUUUCUUCUCUCAUUUUUCCAUUUCAAGUCCCUUGCUCCUGUGUCGAUUUCUCCCCUUGGAAAAGGGUUCUUCUUCAGCCAUUUUGGAGCAGCAAUUGAGUUUUCAUAGAAGCCUUGAUCGGCGAGGACAACAAAGAAUGAAGAACGGAGCAACCUUGUCAAGCAGCGGAAAAAUAUUGGAUUUGAUUCUUGUUCCCUAUCUCUUUAAUUUUUGUUAUUGUUAUGAUGAACACAUCUAAGAAUAUUUAUAUUGUUGGAAUGGUUAAUUUAAUCAGUUUACCUUGAAUUUAAUUCGUGUUGGUUUGAUUGCAUUUCAUCUGCUUAAAUUAUUAAAAUUAUGUCUAUGUUUUUAUAAGCCUUGGUAAAAUGCUUGAUUAAGUAAAAUCAUGCCUAAGUUAUUCUUGCAUUACAAUUGUGAGGUAGCUAAUGAAUGAAUUAUUUUAACGGAUUGAAAUUAUAAUUAAUUGACACAAUUCUUAAUCAGUGCAUGUUUACUCUUCUAAGGUAGCUGAAGGUUAAAUUAGCAAUGCAUGUGGCGAUACACUUGCCUUGCAUAACUUGCGAGAUUAUUGUGAUUAAACUGUUUCAAGGUAAGGAUACCUUGUUACCUCACGUAGUCUUUUAUAUGCUCUUUAGAUCUUAUUAAUCGUUUGAAUUGACAUAGGGAUAUGCAAGAGACUAGUUCAAUUUAAUGAGUAUGUAUAUGCCAUAACAUGUUUGCUUAUUAAAACUGUUUAAUUAUUUGAAUUAACAUAGGGAUAUGUUAAGAGAUGAAUGGAUUUGUGUAGCUGAAUAUGUUCAUAAGUUAGCAAACUACCGAGUUACCGUGAAUUUAUUCGUAACAACAUAAGCAUGAGCUUAAUAAUUCUAAGUUAAAGAAAUGUAAUUAAAUCAAUACAAUUAUGUCAUCUUGAUUAAAUCAUGUUUUGAAAUCGUGAAUUUGAGAUUUAUUUCUUAAGUUUACUUAGUUUAAAAUCUUAGUUUUUAAUUACCCUCUCAAAACAAAAUAUUUUUCUUCACCAAAGUAUUUUAAAUUGCAUUCAUAAAUAAUCCUUUUUACAGCCCCUGUGAGUACGAUAACUCGACAUUUACUUAUCACUUUAUUACUUGUUGCGAUUGUGUACACUUACACAUUUCUGUCGUUCCAGAUACAUGCAGGGUUCACACACCCGUGUGAACAGGCCGUGUGUCUCACACGACCACCAGACACGCCCAUGUCAUAGGCCAUGUGAAAAUAGGGCAUACAUACUGACUUGCACCACACGGCCAAGGACACGCCCGUGUGCCAUGGCCAUGGGAAAACUAGAGGGGUUACUGACUUGGGUCACACAGCCGGCCACACGCCCAUGUGCCAGCCCGUGUCCCACACACGGCUAAUAGACACGCCCGUGUGUAUAGACCGUGUCAAACCUGUAGGGUAUACUGACUUAAUAUUGAAAGGUACCCCAGGGGACACACGACCGUAUAGCAUGACGUGUGUCAUACACAACUGAGACACACGCCCGUGUCUCUGCCUGUGUGGACAAAAAUAGGCUAUUUGCAAAGCCAAUUUGCCACCCUUUCCUCAUGUACACCUAGCAAUCAAAAUGGUACUAUUUCAAUACAUUUAUAAGUAGCCAAAACAUGCCAAUUCAUAUACAAUUCAUGCCAUUUAUAAACCAUCCUCUUAACUACUCAAAUUCAUAGCCAAAACAUACCAAAUCAAUAUGCCAAAAUCAUCAAACUAACAUAACUUAUAAAUGCAUUUCCUCAUCAUCUUAUCGUCCAUUUCAUGCUUCAAAACAUACCAUUUCAUCAUCUCAAAAUCAAGCCAAUUCACAACAUGCCAUUUUCCAAACAAUAAUACACCAAUUGACAAUUUUCUAAUUGAGCAACCAUAUAACCACCACAACAACCAUACCAAAUAUACCAAAACACAAGGCAAUAUAUACAUCACAUAUCACUUACCAAACUCAUACAUCUAGCCAACUAAAAUGGCCAAAAUACAGACCAACACUUACAUCAAAAACAAGUCAAAUCUCAUGGCUAUAUCAUAUCUCAAAACAUAUCAUCAACUCACUAGCCAAUACAUGCCAUAUACCAUAUUUACGAAGUAUCCAAAAAUACCAACAAGUUGAUCAAUAGUGUAAUGACGUUUCACGACAAUCCCCGAGUCCGAGCUAGCUUCGAUUAUCUAUAAAACAAGGAAAAAACACACAAAGUAAGCUUCAAAAGCUUAGUAAGCCAUAUACAAAUAAAUUAUCACAUGAAUCAAUAUUAUUUCCAUUAAUAGGCAACUAUGAGUAAACAUUUAUAAGAUCACAAACCUUUUUCAUUGUACACAUAUUCAAAUACUUCCCUUUCAUUACUUGUAUGAAUCUCAUACGUACUUGAGCCAUUUAACUCAUUCACACAUUCUUUCUUGACUUGACUUUGUCGGUUGAACCAUUCAGAAUCGUUAAGGAUACUCGAAAAUCAAAUAAAGCUUGUACAAUGCCAUAUCCCAGAUAUAGCCUUACAUGUUAUCACAUAUCGAUGCCACUAUCCCAGACAGGGUCUUACACGAAAUUGAAUAAUGAUACCAAUGUCCCUGACAUGGUAUUACACGUAAUCACAAUACAAUGCCAAUGUCCCAGACAUGAUCUUACAUGUAAUCACAUCUCGGUAACCUAAUGUCAUGACAUUUGUAUCCUAUACUAUUCCUAAGGUUCGUACGGGACUUUCGGAUGUCGUAACUCUGUCAAUUCUCGCUUGUAUUUCCUCGUUCAAAAUUCAUAGAAAUUCAAUGACAAUUAAACAUGUAUAAUUCAAUUAAAAGACAUUUAUUUGCAUAUGAACUUACCCUCGUAUUAGGGAUAAACGGACGGGAUUGACUAUUCAACAACUUUCGAUUUCCCCCGAUCUAAAUCCGAUUUCUUUCUUUCAGGAUCUAUAUGAAUUCAAAAUUAACUUAUUUAUUCAUUGAUUCAAUCAAUUCAGUCCAAAGACACAUAUUUAAGUCAAUUUGCACUUUGGCCCUAAACUUUCACAUUUAUUACAAUUUAGUCCUUAUUUCAAUAAACACAAAUUACACCAAUUCAAUUGAAACCAUGUGUGCCAAAUUACUAUAGUACCCCUAGCAGCGCAUAUUUCACAUUUAUUCACACUUUUAACCCCACAUUUUUAUCUUUUCACAAUUUAAUCCCUAAUAUGCAUUUUUACUCAAAAUCACUUUACAAAAACAUAGAUAUCCAUCACUAAACUUUCAUAAUUCAUCAUCAAACAUUCAAAAACACAUGAAUUCAUCAAUGGAAACUUUCAAAACAUUAAUUAGUUUUGCAAAUUAGUCCCUGGGCUAGCUAGUACUCGAUACAACGAUCACAAGAACAUAGAAAUCAUCAAAAAUCGAGCUCAAAACAUACCUCAAUCAAGCUAUGCAAGUGCCGAAUGAAAACUUAAUCUUUUAGCUCUCUUCUUUUCUAAUUUUCGAUUGAAACAAAUAAAUAUGAACAUGUUUUUAUCUUUUGUUUUAUUUAAUAUACCUUGUUUUAUUUAAUUACUAAAUUAACCUUGAUUAAAAACAUUAAUAAACAUCCAAUACAUGCCCAAUUAUGUCCAUUCCCACUAUCCAUGGUCUAAUAUCAUUAUAAGGACCUUUCAUUUAAUGACUCAUAGCAUUUAAACACUUUUAACUUAUAGCAUGCUACUUUUGCAUUUUAUUUGAUUUAGUCAUUUCAUCAAAUUAAGCACUCAAACGCUAAAAUUAUUUCACAAAAUUUUCACACAUACAUAUUCACAUGCUAUAAACGCAAAAAAUAAUAUUAAAAUAAUUUUUUGACCUCUGAUUUAUGGUUUCAAAACUAUUUUUCUGAUUUAGUUAAAACCAAGCUGUUACAGAGUGGACUUCAUUGAAACCUUUGCCUCCGUUGCGAGGUUAGACACCAUAAGGCUGCUACUGACUCUUGCUGCUCAAAAAAGUUGGAGAAUACAUCAGAUGGAUGUAAAAUUAGCCUUCUUAAAUGGUUUUCUGAAAGAAGAAAUUUAUGUUGAGCAACUAUAAGGAUUUGCAAUACCUGGGUGUAAAGCCAAGGUGUACAAAUUGAACAACGCACUGUAUGGCUUGAAGCAAGCACCAAGAGCAUGGUAUGAAAGAAUUGACAAUCAUAUGAAAGAAAUGGGUUUUGAAAGAAGUAUCAGCGAGCCCACUUUAUAUGUGAAAAAAUUUGGUAAUGAAAUAUUUCUCAUUAUUUCAGUAUAUGUUGAUGAUUUACUUGUGAUUGGAAGCAACAACAAACUGGUAAUUGUAUUCAAGGAUUAGAUGCAAGACAAGUUUGAAAUGUCAGACUUAGGUGAAAUGACAGACUUCUUUAGUUUAGAGGUGAAUCAAGUUAAUGGUGCAAUCUUCAUAAACUAGAAAAGGUUUGUGAUGAAGAUCCUGUGAAGAUAUAGCAUGGAAAAUUGUAAACCUACGAGCACCCAUGCUAAGAAGGUUGUUGAAACAAGAUACAGAAGCUUGGUGGGAUGUCUACUUUACUUGAGAGCAUCCAGACCUGACAUAAUAUUUGUUGUAAGUAUGUUGUCAAGCUUCAUCCAUUAUUGCAUUGUGAACUACUACUAGCAAAAAGGGUUCUACGAUACAUAAGAGGAACUCUAAGCCAUGGAGUGAAGUUUGUAAAGGCUAAAAAGGUCAAGUUUCUUGGGUAUCUAAACACUGGUUGGGCUGGAUCUACUGAAGACAUGAAGAGUACCUCAGGUUAUUUCUUUACUCUAGGAUCGAGUGUAUUCUGUUAGAGGUCGAUGAACAAGAAACAGCGGCAUAGUCAACUACUGAAGUUUAGUAUGUUGCAACUGCAGCAUCUGUAAAUUAAGCCAUCUGGUUAAGGAAACUGCUGAAUGAUUUGAAUUUAAAAUAAGAAGAAGCAACAGAGAUUAAGUGUGAUAAUCAAUCUGCUGUUGCAAUUGUAAAAAAUCCAAUGUUCCAUGGAAGAACAAAAUAGUUCAAAAUCAAGUAUCACUUUGUGAGAGAAGUGGAGCAAUCCAAGGAAGUCACAUUGGUUCAUUGCAGUUUUCAAGAUCAGUUGGCUGAUAUUCUAACAAAACCUCUUGGGAAAUUGUGGUUUGAAAAGUUGCAUUAUGAUAUUGGGGAUCGCAACAUGGAGGCCAAGAAGGAGUGUUUCAAAAUGACCAUCCAUGCAAGGGCGAACCUAGAACACAAGUUUGCGAGCUCAAUGUGUGAGCUCGACAAAAUUGCGAGCUCAUCAAUAGUGCGAGCUCUUUACCUUGCAAGUUGCCAACUUGCCAACUUGCACUAAAACAAUGAUAAUUUUUAUUAGGCGUUUUGGUUGUUGAUUAGACUGAAAUCAGCCAAUAAGGAAGCAAGUUAACUAAAUCUAGUUGCAAGUCUAAGCUAAGUUGUAAUUAUUUUAUUAUUAUUUUUAGCUUUUUUAAGCUCUCUUGUUCCUGUAAAUAGAGCAAUCAAUUUUUUAAUGAAAUAGUUGAUCACAAGCUUAUCUUUUCUCCACUUUUAAUCCUUUUUUGCCUUUGUUUUAAUCUUUCCUUCAUCAAAUUUCCAAUAGUCUCACUCUUUUAAGUCUAUGAAUGUUGGCCCUUACAACAAGCUAGCAAAACGCAAUUCUUGGCGUUGAUUUCUCGAGAGUCGGUAGGGGCUCCUAUGGUUAUGUUAGUGCCUGCCCUGACCAUAGAAAAGAUAAGAAUGCCUAUUUUCAUUGCACUUACUAAAAUUAUUGAAACUCCACAACUAGACAAGGUUGUGGCUGAUGUUUUCAACAAGAUGUAUUCGGAUGAUGGGAAGAUGGUUAAAGAAGAUGAGUUCAAGAAACUGUUGACAGCGAUCUUAUGGACCAUCAUGCUGCAGUUAGGGGACAAUCCCAUCUCAGUUUCUUCAAACUGUGUACUACAUGAGCCCCUUGAAUCUUCCUCUUCGCUUUUGCAGCCAUGAUCCUGAUUUCCUAAUACGCGUAUCUCAUAUUUACUACAAACACAAUAAAAUGGACAAUCCAUUUUGGUAUAAUGAAGAAAUUUACGACUAGCUUAUGUUCUUUCUGUGCAAUUCAGUAAAACAUGCAAAUAUGUAAUUCAAUUUGGGACGAAUUUUUCUACAAAGAAAGUCGUCAUCAUCAAUCAACAACAAUGAUUAAAUUCUUAUUAGUUUGUAUACAAAUUUAAAAUACAAAAGAGCCAUAUGCCGUAUUAUUAUUACGUUUUGGAGGUAAUAUAUAUAUUUCAGGAUAAGAUAUGCGAAAUAACAUAUUUUUCCAACAACAACAAUUCACAAUUACAACCAAGUAAUUAUGUUGUUCAUUUUCUUAGUAACUGUGAGUAUGCUCACGUGGAAUCAUUUUAACAUACAGAGCGAAAGCCACGCACCCAAUAGUCGGUCCAAUCCAAAAUAUCCAGUGUCCAUUCCAAAGGUGGCCUCCUCUUACGACUGCUGGACCGAAGCAUCUUGCUGGGUUCAGCCCAGCACCACCAUAGCCUUUUGUGGCAGUAACUGUGGUUGAAAUGAACACUAGAAGACCCAAUACUACUCCUAAGAUAAUGCAGAUUAUUACUCGUCCCACGGCCUUUGCUUGGCGACGAUCAAAAGCCAUCCAUACUGAAGCGAAAAGGAACACAAAGGAACAGAUUAUCUCAAGCCAAAGGGCCUGGCUGUUCCCCAUGCCAAUCACAGUUGGUCCAUCGGUACCUGGUACGACAAUAGUCACGGUGCAUCCUGCUAGCGAAUACGUUCGUUCAAUGGCGCUAUUAACCACAGCUUUGAGUGCUAGUGAACCUAGUAUGCCACCGACACAUUGGGCCAAAAUGUAUAUGGCAGCUUUGGAAAUGGAAAUCAGGCCGGUAAGUAAAGCAGCAAAGGUAACAAUCGGAUUGAUAUGGCCUCCGGAGAUGGGGUAGGUAGCAAGCAGGAGAACUGCAACGACAAAGGCGAUUAGGACCGACAUUACAAGGUUGGGUGUCUUUGUUUCGGUCUGCAAUGUGGAGAUAACUAUGGUGUCCAAUGCAAAAACCAGCACUGCUGUCCCAAGAAGCUCUGCCAAUGAAGCUCUCCAUACCUAUAAUCCAACACCAGUUUGCUUGUUAGCAAUGCAAGCGAAGCAACUUCACAAAAAUAUCUAGCAAUCUCUGAGUUAAUGGCUAUGGGUGGCUUCACCUUGAGAAAAUUUUUCUAAGUCCCUCCCAAAAUUAAAUAAAAAAUUGUAUUUUUUAUUCUUUUAAAAAGAUCAAAAAUUUAACUUAAGCCAUUUUUUAACCACCAAAAUUUUAGAAUUUUAUCUCGAUGACACUAAAUAAAAUUCCUCUCACACUAACCUCCAAGGACAACAGCUGUUCAAGGCCUAACACCUUAGUAGACAAAAACACUUUUGCAUCAGAUUCCUCCUUAAUUUGCCCCGGCCUGCAAAAAUGAAAGAAAGGUUAGCUUGACAUAAACAUAAUUUAGUCCUCAAAAUGAAGCAAACCAAACUUGUUACAUAAUUACGUUGGAGUAGAGGCUACAGGCAGGACUCUAUUAUGAGUAAAGUUGUUUUCUUCAUCUUCAACAAUUCCAUUUCGGGCCAUCUUCUUAUUUAGCUCUUCUGGCUGCUCAAACCCUCUUUAAGUUAAAUAUAUCCCUUUGCUACAUUAGACAUACCUCCUGUUACCUAUAUAUAUAGCCAGAGAUUCGAGAUUCAUCAAUUCGUGCUGGCACCAAUUUAAAGUAUAUUGGCUGCAAUAGUAUAUAUCUUUAAUAAUCUUCAUAUUAGUCACAAAGUUCAUUCAUCCCUUUACAGAGUAUAUUUUGAAAUAUACUCCAUAUAAAAAUAUAUAUAUUUAGAAUUAAUUAAUAAUUUAUGCUUGUGAAUUAUAGUGUUCUGGGUUGGCAUUUAUAUAACUUAAGAUUGGUGCAAAUCGUGCGUAUUGAUUUUGAAUGGAGUUUGAGGAUUGAAAUGGGAGAAGAACAAGCAGGGGCCUUCUUCGAGAAGGUUUACGAUGCAUGUAAUAAUUGUUAAUUUAUGUUUUUAUGGAACUGCUAGCUUAGCUGCCCCUUAGGGUUUGACUUUUAACGCAAAACGAAUCCCUUCAAUAUUGUUAGUUGAUAUUUGCAUGCAUUGUAGUGUCAUUACAGAUCAUCCGUCGGUUUCAUCGUAUCCCGCGGUUAUGGGAUCCUGUUAGUCUCACAUUAACCAAUGAGAAAAAAAUAUCUUUACCUUUUUAAUAUUUAGCACAUUUAUCUGUUUCACAUUAAAUAAAUAUUUUUUUCUAAAUUAUGGUCUAAGAAUUAUUAUUUGAAGAUAUUUUACCUCAUCCAAAGAUUGUUUAUAGAUUUUCUGACUUUGGGAAUGAUCAUUUUGAUUGAUAUUGAAACAACAGUGAAUAGACUUGAUACAUCACUGACAAAAUUUAAAAAUAUGAUAGAUCAAUUAUUAUUCGGAUUACAUUUUAAAAAAUUGUAUAAUAUAAAAUAAAAAAAUUAAAAUGAAAAAAAAUCUACAGUCUAGAAACUAAAUACAUAUAAAAAAUAAAAAUGUCAUUUAUUUUAAAUUAUUUUCUAUUUCAUAUUAUGCAUCUUUUAAAAGUAAAAAUCAUAUAGCAUUGAAUCUUUAGUAAUAAAAAAUGUGUAAAUUUUAAAAAAAAUUAUUUUAAUUACUUAUAUUAUUUUUAAAAAAUAUUUAAUUUUUAAGAUAAUCCUAAUAUAAAUUAUUUUCAUAAACUUAAAUAUUUUUAAGUGAACAAGCUUUAGUUUAUUGAUUAAAGGCAAAUAUUUAAAAUCUAAUUUGAGUGCAACAUUUAUUUCAAAAAAAAAAAAAGAAAAUUGAGUGCAACAUUCUCCCCAUGUGCAUUUACCAUAGGUUAUCGCCUAUUCAUUUCAUUUUUCAUUGGGGAGUUUCAGAUAUUUAUAGGCUUUUUAUGUGGUUCCCUUAAGCCAAAUGUCUUACAAAUGGAAGUUAAUAAUUGAGUAAUGGUCUUGAUAUUUUAAUGAGAUGUUUGUAUUAUAUUUAUAUAUUAUAUAAUAUAUAUAAUUUUUUAAAGUUGAAAAUUUAAGGUCGCGCAAUGAAUUAUCAGUGCCAUAACUCCAGGCCUUUCUUCUAGAGCUACUUUUAUUAGUUUACCCCCAAUAUCUAAGCCAACGUCAGGUUUCCAUACACCAAGGUCACACGCUGCUUUUGACCAACCUCCAAUGGUGGGUGAAGCUUGGGAUGCCUUGAGAAUGAUCAUUGGUGUAUUUUCUUGAUCAACCAGUUGGGACUAUUGCAGCCUUGGAUAGUGUCCAAGAAAAUUAAAAUUAUUAUUUUUACGAAAAACUCAUUUUAAAAUUAGAUUUUACAUAUUUUAAUGAUCAAUUAAACAUGAUUUAACUACGAUUAAUUAACAUACAUAUACAUACACCUUCAAUUGAGUUUAUUGACAUCGAUCAAGCCUCAAUUAUAUAGAACUAGACAAUCAAUUUCAUGCAUAUCAAACACUGAAUAAAUCAAACAAGUGGUGUACCUUAGCCGCUAGUAAACCACUCCAUGGAAGCUUCAUUCAAACAAUCGUUAGUACAAAUUUCAUGCCUCACACAUCGUGUUAUCAAUCACCGUGUUAUCAAGCAACAAUACACCGUAAAUCAUUCAAUAAUUAAACUCAAACAUGCCUAAAAAUUAUUAUAAAACUAUCCAAAAUAAAAUGUCUAAUGUCCAAAAUCCAAUUACAACCAAAAUUAAACUAAUUCCCGGGAGUUCCACAAUGCCCGAUUACAGUCUCUAAAACGUGUAAUAAAGUAUCUACCAAGUCUAAAACUCUCGGAACUCUCUUGCUCAGCUCCUUAACUCCUCAAACCCGAUGAUUAUCUGCACAAAUUGUGAGGGUGUGAGCUUUAAAACUCUCAAUGAAUGUUAAUAAAAAUGACUAGUAAAUCAACAUCCAAACCAUGCUUAAAUUUCAUCCAAUCAAUCGCCAAUUAUCAGCCAUAAUAAUGAAACAUGUCAAUUUAAUUUCUAUAUGCUUUAUCAAUAUCAAGAAUCAAUUAUUCAUGGUUUACAAACAUCGAAUGAUAUAACAGUAAUCACACAUAAAUACAUUGGCAUACACUUCUUAUGGCUUAAUCAGGUGAUUAUACAUUGAAUAAACGGAUUUCCAAACUCCAACAAAUAUCAAAUACAGUCCCCCAAGUUGAGCGGGCUGAAGCACAUGCUCGCUUAUAGCGCCUCAAAUAACCCAAUGAGUGGAGACUCAUGCUCAACACUCCCUUAUCUACUCCAAACAAAUAAAUCCACCUAGAGUCAUAUGCUCACAAUGUCACAAAUAAAUAUGAGUACUUACAAAUCCUAUGACAUGCUAACUAUAUCCAAUGGAUCCACCAUACAUGUUUCUAAUAUAUUCAGUCAAACAAAACAUAUAAAUCAGUCAUUAUUGUGCUCAAUUUAAUGUGUCAAAAUGUUUAUGUGUAACAUGUAACAUAGUCAUUUAACAUCCAAUUAAAUCAAGCAUUUCAUUUGCCAUGUUCAAAAGUUCAAUUACCAAUUGUAACACUAAUACAUGAUAAUAAAAAAACUCCAAUCACUAUGCUCUAAUCAUCAAUAUAAUUAGCCCAAUUAUAUUAUACAAAAUCACCUAAAUACUUACCAUUAUUCAAUAAAAAUUUAACUCUUGUACAUAUAAUAUCAAUCUUGCAAAAAAUAAGUCAUUCAACUAUAAUUAAACAAUUGAAGUCAUCAAUUAAACUACUUCUCAAAAAUAAAUAAAGGUCAAUUUACCAAAUCGCCCUUAGAAACUAUAACAACUCGUUUUCAGUAAUAUAAAAAAUAGUGGUUUCAGGACCACAAUUCCAACGAGUAAAUUAUCAUUUUAUUAUUAUUUUAACGUAUAUAUAUUAAGAUAAAAUUUUGUUAAGAAAUUUUGAUGUUUAAGUAGUUAAUUAAGUGAAAAGGAAUAAAUCGUGAAAGGUGAAAAAGUUGAGUUCUAUGAGUUAAAAGGGUCAAAUGGCUAUGAAACUUUAAACCAAAAGGACUUUAAGGGUAAAUAAACCAUUUAAUAAAUUAGUGGAUGUGCAUGGCAUGGUUUAUUGAAAUUUUGUUAGUUUUUAAAGGUUAAUUUGGUAAUUAAGUAAAUUAAUUUAAAACAAAAAGGAAUCAAAAGAUGGUAUCAAUGAUAGCACUAGAAAGAACAUAGGUUUUCCCCCUUACUUAUUGGUUAAAUUGUUCCUAUUUAGUUAUCUUUACCAUUUAUUUUAGCUUUUCAGUUUAGUAAAUUGCAUUUUAUAGCUCAGUGAAUCCUAGUCUAUUUUAUCCUUAAUUUUUCUAGCUUAUUGCAUUAAUGUUGUUGCAUGAGUUAAUCCCAGAUUACAUCUGGAAUUGUCGCCGCACUUGACAAUUGUCCAGAUAAGAACCAAAAUUUCGUGAGCUAUCCAGUCUGGUCCAACCUGUACGUACAAGGACAAAAUAAUUUUAAAGGAAUGACACUUGUACUAUGAGAGGAGGACAUAAAAGGUGGAGUGAGUAGAAAAAGAGGUUUUUUUCUCCACCAUCAUCUUCAUCAUCUUACUUGGAAGCUUGUGGUCAUGGUAGCUUAAGCCUCUCACGGGUGAGCUAACGUGCAAACUGAAUGCAGACUAGCUCCUAACGGGGAGAUCUAAGUGCGAGACAAGAGGGAAUAAAGAGAUUUAGUUGAGUUGUUUAGGAAUAUAAUUCUCCACUUGAUUUUUUCUUAUUUCUUUCUAAAUGUUGGUGAUUACUCUUUGAUUUCUGAUUGUAUGGAAGUACUGAUGAAUUCUUGGUGAAAUGUUAUCUUAUUUAAUCUUACUUUUAUUGUUUAAUCUUGGGUUUGAAUUUUUUUAACACGGAAGUGUUAUUGUAGUGACAGUUUGAUCCAACAAGCAUUUCAACGGAAUUUGAGUGAGGAUUAGAGGAAUUCAGUCCACUUGUUCUUAAUAGUACCGUAUUGCCAUCAUCGGAAGGUGAGGUUAAUAUGCAUGUUUAAGUCUCAGAUUAAAUAGAGAAGUAACACUGGGUAAGAUUUACAUUGAAUCUUAUUGCUUCAACAAUCACCUAUCUUUUUAUACCUUGUGAGAACUUAGUAUUCUGCUGAAGAUUCAUGUUGGGGAUCCCAGUUUAUCAUUAUCAUAUUUUAUUUUAUUGUUUUCAGUUUAUUGCAUCGACAACUAUUCUCACAAUUUAUCUUGUUUCCAUCUAGUUGUUGCACCAACAUUAAUAAACAAAAUACUAUCAUCCCUGUGGGAUCGAUAUUUGACAGACUCAUAUCUGUCUACUAUAUUUUCAUCAAAAGUGUACGAUUGUACAUUAUUGUUGUGACGUUAAACAACCGAUCAAGUUUUUGGCAUCGUUGCCAGGGAUGGCGUUUGUUUGAUGUUUGUUUUUGUUUUUUUGUGUUUUUGCACUUUAUUUUCCUUAUAUAAUAUUUAGUUUUCACUAAUUGGUUUUUCUUUGUUGCUAUUUAUUUAACUUCAAUUUAGGUGUUUUAUGACUUGAAGAAAUUUGGAUUUUCUUAUCGAUUUUGAUCCAGAAAUUGAAAGGACUGUUCAGAGUAGACUUCCAGAACAAAGAAGUAUGGCUCUACCAGGGAACAAUGCAGCCAUACCCCCGAUGCAACAGUAAAAUGUUAAUAACCCAUUGUUGUUGUAAGAUGCUCGUAUACAAAAUAGGAUUAUACGAGAUUUUUUAGUACCUGUUUUGGAUGAUUUACAACUAGGAGUUGUUAGGCCAGCAAUCCAAGUUGGGAAUUUUGAACUCAAGCUAGUAAUGUUUCAAAUGUAGAAUUCUAAUGGACAAUAUGUUGGACUUCCACACGAAGAUGUGAAAGAACAUCUUAAAUCUUUUUAUUGAUCUAUGUUUCUUUUAUUCAACAAGCCAUUCCUGAUAAUGCUUUGAAGAUGCAAUUAUUUCCUUAUUCCUUAUAGGGAAGAGCCCGUACUUGGUUUUUUAGACUACCUGCCAGAUCAAUUACUUUUUGGGAUGCAUUAGCAACACAGUUUAUUUUGCGAUUUAACCCACCGACAAUGAAUACUCGUCUUCGAAAUGAUAUUACUACUUAUCAUCAGUUGGGUGAUAAAAAUCUUCAUACCAUAUGGGAACAUUAUAAAUCUUUACUUCGACAUUGUCCUAUGCACGGCAUUUAACUAGAAACACAAAUUGAGAUUUUUUUUAUAACGGGUUGAAUUUACAAAUAAGGAAUCAUGUCGACGCAUCAGCUAAUGGAUCUCUGCUGGAUUGUACUUAUAAUGAUGCUGUGAGAAUUCUUGAAAGAACUGCUCAGAAUGAUUAUCAAUACCCUAUCUCCAGAGUUGCACAAGCAAAAACUACUCCAGGAGUUAUUAAGUUGGAUGUAAUAAUUGCACUAACUGCUCAAGUUUCUUCUCUCACAAACAUGAUUAAAAUAUGCAAGGGACUAGUGGUGUUGCACCUAUACAAGUCGCUCAGCAAGUUGAUGUUCCUACCUUUUUUGUGAGAUUUGUAGUGAUAACCAUAGCUAUGAAAAUUGUCUGCAACAUGUAGAGAAUGCCUGUCAUAUUAGUAACAUCCGCAACAAUUCUUAUGGAAAUUCUUACAACAACUCUGUACGCAACUAACAGUUUGGAGAAACUCAGAAUGCUGGACAAAUAUGAGAAUACAUCUACUCAGGGCAAUUAUAAUCACAGGUAAAGGAACUACAAUCAACAAAAGCAGAACUACAAUCAGCACACUCAGAUACAUCUACAACAAGGCUAGACACAUCUACACCAAAAUUCGAUGUAGCCACAAUACUAUUCACUACCAAAUCAACAUGUUCAAGGACAUCGAAAACAACCAUACACUAAGCUUCUACUUCUGACCCAUUAGCAACUCUUGAAGUGUUAAUGCGAGAGCAUAUUUCUCAUACGAAAGCUAUCGUACAAGGGAAUGCAUCUUCGAUUUUCGACCAUUGGAAGAUCAAUUAGGACAACUUGCUUCAAAUCCGAAUACUCGACCACCAGGUUUAUUACCUAGUGGCACGGAAAAUCCUAUUCCGAGGGGAAAGAACAUUGUAAGGCUAUCACUCUUAGGAGUGGUAAACAAAUUAGAGAACCGUUUAUCGACUCUACUAUAGCACUUCAAGAUAGAGAUGGAGUGGUCACUGGCGAGAAGGUUGAAUCUAAAGAAUUUUUCAUGAAUCAAACAAAGAAGUUCCACAAAUUGUCACUCAUAUACCCGAUGUCAUACCUUCAAAACUAUCGACGUAAUCAAAGGUGUCGGCGUAAGCAGAUAUAUCUCUACCUUUACCCUUUCUACAAAGAUUCAGGGAGAAUGAGCAUGACAAGUAAUAUCAGUAGUUCCUAGACACACUGAAGCAACUACAGAUAAACAUUCUUUUAGUGGAAGUUCUAGUAAAAAUUCUGAGUUAUGGGAAAUUUAUGAAAUACCUCUUGUCUAAGAAGAAGAAGCUCCCUGAUAUUGAAACUAUUGCACUCACAGAAGGUUGUAGUACUAUUUUGACAAACAAGUUGCUCCUUAAAUUAAAAGAUCCUUGGAUAUUUACCAUCCCAUGUUCAAUUGUUAAUCAUUAUUUGGGUAAGGCUUUAUGUGACUUAGGAGCUAGCAGUAACCUAAUGCCAUUAUCCACUUUCUGAAAGUUGAGAAUUGGUCACAUGAAAUCUACUACAGUGACAGUACAACUAGUCGAUCGAUUUUCUCAAAAUCAUAUCUUUUUACCUUUAAACUGUUCUCCCUCAACAAAAGAUGGCCAAAACAAGAGGCUCGGUCAAGAAAACCACUAAAUCUGUUAGAGAACAUGCGUCUUCUACUACCACAGUUCGUGAAUUAGAAUCCCCUAGGCCAGUGCAGACAAAUGAGCCAGUAAUCAUUUUGAAUAAACAAUAAAUGAAUGAUUUCACAACAAUAUACUGAAGCAAAAAUUCUAUCCCGAGUAGGGCAUUUCCCUUUCGCCACAACAAGACUUGGGUAAGCAAGUCUCCAAAACCAUCUCGAAGUUAAAAUAGAAGACCAUUUACACCCAUCUUGACAGCUACUCUCCUUUACUGGUACGUGAGUUUUAUGCUAAUCUUUACUAUCAUGAGUUAGAGUUCGUUUUCGUUCAAGAAGGUUUAAUACCAUAGGACGCUGCAACAACCAACGAGGUGUACAACACCAAGGUCGAUGUCGAUGAACACUGCAAGUUCAUGGAUGAUAUCACAGAUGAAAAACGAGAUCUGUUGGUGAGAGACUUGUGUGUCAAGGGAGCAGUGUAGAAUGGUUCCCAUAAAAAAAAUUACACGAUGCACCGUCGCUUCCUGACGCUACAAGGAAAAAUUUGGUUUCAUUUUGUCAACUGCAGGCUAAAGUCCUCCACUCACAACACUACAGUCACCCUAGACAGAAUGUGUCUAAUACAUUCUACUGUCAAGGGAAGAAAAUUUGAUGUAGGCGCAAUACUUCACCAAGGCUAAAGUCCUCCACUCACAGCACCACAGUCCCCCUAGACAAAAUGUGUCAAAUAAAUUCUAUUAUUAAGGGCAGAAAUUAAUGUAGGCAUAAUACUUUACCAAGAAAUAGUUGACUGCGCUGCAAGGCAGACUAGGAUAUUGGUUUUCCUAUCACUAGUGAUGUUAUUAUGCCAGCAAAGAGAAAUCGUGCCCUUUGCUGGUGCGAAAGUCUUGGAAAAUAAAGGCCCAAUCAAUGAAGCCUCUAUAGAAAGAAUAACUAGAAGCAAUAACACACCGAUAUUGAAGGAAGCGAAGACCAGCAAGACAAGAAAGGGUAAAGCCAAAUCUGACAAAAAUGGAACAAACUUAAAUGCAGAGACAUCAUUAUGGCAUAAACUAAAAGAUGUCGAAGAAAUGGUAAAUUACAUCAACAACAGGCAAAUUCGGCUUGUCACUAUAGUAGAAGAUAUGGAGAAAUCCCAGAAUUUGUUUUAUGCUUAUACUGGAGCCUGGAAUAGUUCUAUUGUAGCGACAUUAGACCAACUGAGCCCAUCAUCACUAUUUAAGUUCCCUGUAUUUCCAUAAAUCAUUCGCAAUUAUGACCCCUCUUCCUCGGAUGAAGACUUAGAAGGUCGAGAUAAACCGGUGGCAUCCCCACUCAUUAUGCAGGUCUCUGAUACUGAGAAAGAAAAGGAAUCUAGGGAGCUUGAAAAAUGCCUACGAAAGAUUGAUAGCUUGUUUGAUGAUAGUAUUUUUGCUGAUCAAGAGGACACUGUUUUUGAGAAGGAAGUUGCUGCUGCAGAAGAGGAAAUUGUUGCUGAAGAAGAAGAAGUUGCUGGAAAUAAGAAAGAAAAAGAAGAAAAAGAUUUUGUUGAGAUGAUUAUCACCGCACCAGAGUCUAUGGGUGCAAAUAUUAAUAAUUUGGAGUGAACUGGAGUAAGACUGGCGGAAGAUGUUGAGGUAACCAGUGAGGAACAAUGUAAUUCAUUGGCAAUAGUGGUCUACAUUGGACCACUCCAAGUGGCCUCUCCUACACAAACAACAGCCAAUGAUACCGGGACAGAGCCUGGCACUGAGGAGCAAUCUGAAGACUGUGCAAAGCCUAAAGAAAAGAAAAGAAAGAGCUUUAAGAAUAAAAAAAAUAAAAGAAUGAGGAAAAGAAAAAGAGGAGAAAGAAACAUAUGCAUCCACAUCGACGGCUACGGAUAACAUAGUUAGUUUAUUUUAAGCUUUGGUUAUAGUAUUCAUGCAUUGCAUGUAGCUUUAGGUUUUAUUUUGAUAAAUAUAUAUUUUCAUUGCAAUGUUAUUGUUAUUACAUUGUCAUAUUAGUGCAUUGGGGACAAUGCAAACUUUAAGUUUGGGGGAAUACACAUGGGCCUUGGAAAUGCACCCACAUUUCAAAAAAAAAGUCAAAAAUAAAGCAUGUAAGGUUUAAUUAUAGUUAAUGGAAAUUGUUCAAAAUUUUUGUUACGUUCGAUGCUUAAUUCUUGAAUCAUGUAAAUUAUCAAUGAAUGAGUUGGACAAAUUUGACAGAAGGUUAUAGCUUCAAUUUUUUGAUGAAUGCAUUAGGUUGUAUUAGUAAUAGAUGACUGUCAUCAUUCCUUAAAUCUUGAAUUAAUCUACUUUUUACAACUGUUUAUAUAUGCAUAUAUAGUUAUAAAGUAGAGACACUCCAAAGUGGGAGUAAUAUGGAAUAUUAAAAAGAGAACACUUUAAUACAAGUGUUAGAAAAAUCAAUCUGGCCAAAAUCUGUCACUGCAUGAAUGUGUGUCGAUGCAAUUACGUACUCCCUGAGGGUUUAUUGCACCCCAUCGUCACUUCUCAAGAACAAGGGUACAGUAAUGCAACAAUAUCCCUUAUUCCAAAAAAUGUAUAUAUAUACUUAGUAUUGGACAAUAAAUGUUGUAAUGGUAGAUAGAACUUAAGGUUUAAAGCAUGAUGCUAGCUUUGAUGAAGUUUCAACCUUAUGCAUUCAUGCUUAUGAAUUGUCGAUGCAAUAUUCUUUCAUCUGAAUGUGAUUCAUCCAUUAGGAAAUUAGAGGAUUCAAGUUGCUAGAAUGAGCAUUUGCCUUAGUAAAAUUUUUGUAGCCUUGCUAGUUUCUAUUUUACUUGAGGACAAGUAAAAACUCAAGUUUGGGGGUGUGAUAGCACUAGAAAUAACAUAGGUUUUUCCCCUUACUUAUUGGUUAAAUUGUUCCCAUUUGGUUAUCCUUAGCAUACAUUUUAGCAUUUUCAGUUUAGUAAAUUGUAUUUUACAACACAGUGAAUCUUAGCCUAUUUUAUCCUUAAUUUUGCUAUCUUAUUGCAUUAAUGUCGCUAUAUGAGUUAACCCAAGAUUGCGUCCAGAAUUGUCACCGCACCUAACAGCUAUCCGGAUAGGAACCAAAACUACGUAAGCUUUUAGUCUAGUAUAACCAACCUGUAUGUACAAGGACAAAAUAAUUUUGAGGAAAGGACACUUGUACUAUGGGAGAAGGAAAUAAAAGGUGGACGUGAGAAGAAAAAUAGGAGUUUUUUUUCUCCAUCAUCAUCUUCAUCAUCCUACCUUGAAGCUUGCGACCAUGGUAUCUUAAGCCUCUCACAAGUGAGCUAACAUAAAAAUCGGAUGCAAACUAGCUCCUGACGAGGAGAUCUAAGUGCGAGACAAGAAGGAAUAGAGAGAUUCAGUCGAGUUGUAUAGGAAUAGAAUUCUCCACUCAAUUCUUUCUUAUUUCUUUCUAAAUGUUGGUGAUUACUCUUUGAUUUCUAGCUGUAUGGAAGUACUGAUGAAUUCUUGGUGAAAUGUUUUCUUAUUUAAUCUUGCUUUUAUUGUUUAAUCUUGGGGUUUGAAAUUUUUUAACAUGGAAGUGUUAUUAUGGUCACUGACACUGGAAAGUGCAAUGAAAAUUUGAGCCAACAAGCAUUUCAAUGGAAUUUGAGUGAGGAUUAGAGGAAUUGAGUCCACUUGUUCUUAAUAUUGUCGUAUUGCCAUCAUUGGAAGGUUAGGUUAAUAUGCAUGUUUGAGUUUUAGAUUAAAGAUUAAAAGAGGAGUAACACCGGGUAAGAUCUACAUUGAAUUUUAUUACUUUGACAAUCACAUAUCUUUUUAUACCUUGUGAGUACUUAGUAUUCCGCUGAAGAUUCAUAUUGGGGAUCCCAGUUUAUCAUUAUCAUAUUUUAUUUUAUUUUAUUAUUUUCAAGUUAUUGCAUCGACAACUAUUCUUACAAUUUAUCUUGUUUCAAUCUAGUUGUUGCACCGACAUUAAUAGACAAAAGACUACCAUCCCUGUGGGAUCGAUAUUCGACAAACUGACAUCUGUCUACUAUAUUUACAUCGAUAGUGUACACUUGCAUAUUAUUGCUGUGACGUUAAACAACCAAUCAAUCAUCUUUAGUAUUCUUCUCCACCAAAAUUCAAGACAGGAAUAGCCAUUGUUAGCGCUUUGAUGUUCAAAUAUCUUGUGUGUGUGCAUGUAAUUGAUUUCGAGCCCGUUCUUAAUGAUUUUUAUGUUUUUAAGUUCGUUUUAGCUUAAUCUAGCUACCCUAAGGGUCAGUUUGUAAAAUUAUUAAAGGUUAAGGGUUAUGCCAUGAAUGUUCUUAAAUGGUUUUUAAUGUUAAAGGAUAUAUUAUUAAUCUUUGUUGAAAAAUAAACAAGUUUUGUUAAGUGAUUUUUGUUGAAUUUUAGAAUUAGAGACUAAUUUGUUAAAGGUAUAAACUCUAGGGUUUUAUUGUGAAAUGAUGGUAAAUAUUAGUUUUUUCAAGGUCCCUUACAUGUUUGAUUAACAUGGAUUUAGAUUAAAAUGUUUAAAUUUUAAGUUAUAAGCUUAAGGAAUAAAUUGUGAAAAAGUUAAAAUGUUAAGGGAAAAUUGGUAAUUUUGUAUAAAAAUGAAAUGUGGAUUACAUUGAAUACUAGAAAUAUUAAAUUGAUUGAAAUAUCCAUUUAGAUCAAGAUAAACCACGUACAGACCUAGAUCGAAGAAAAGCAAAAGCUUCUGAUUUGUUCAACCUAACUACUACACCUCUAGUCGUCGAGGUAAGUUCGUAUGAAGGUUAUUGUGUAAUUGUUACAUACAUUGAACAUUUUCUAUGUUACUCUUAAUGUAGAUGGGUCAAUAUACAUAAACAUAUCAAUGUUAUGACGAAUUGAAGGUUAUCGAGUCCCUAUUGAACCUUAGGAAUUUUUAGGAUACAAAUGCCAUGUCAUUGGGGAUUUCAUGUUUCGGGGGUUGGUCUUAAAUGUCCUACCGAUUGCUAAGGUCCUACAUUUUUUGCGGAUUCUCCAUAGCUCAUGUGAGCAGCAUAAUGUAGCUUACAUUCCAACCCACAGCUCGUGUGGGUAAUGAUGUAAAGGAAUGAUUAUGGUUAUAUGUAAAAGCACACUUUGUGUGAGCUUUCCCAAUUAUCCGAGGUAAUUCUAAUUGGUUCAAUAGGAAAGAAAAGAUAACGUAAUGGUAAGUAUGUAAAUGGAAUGAAUCAUGAUUUAAUGAAAGGCUUGAUGAACUAAAUGAUGUUGUAUGCAUAUGGAAAAUUUCAUACCUUAUGAAUGAUUUCAUUUAUGUUAUGGAUGAACAUACUAACUUGUGAGUUGGUUAUGUUGUAUAGGUUUACAGUAAGCUUAUGGCAUUGGUAUUGAUUUGUACUUAUUCUAUGAAUUGUAUUAUAGAAAUGGUAAGUUACGUUUUAAGUUUAUACGAGUUUACUAAGGAUUCAUUGCUUUCGUAUUUUCUUUCUUAUAUUUUAUAGAUUAUCGAAAGCUCGAUUUGGUUGGAAGUCCAUCAGAGAUCUAUUACACUAUCUAGCAAACAAUUCGGUAGUUUUUGAACAUUUUGGCCAAGGUUUAUAAUGGCAUGUAUAGGAUUAGAUGUAAUGGUAUUUUGACGAAUGUUUUUUUUUUUGUGUUUUGGCAUGUAUAAGAUUUGAAAGUUAUCUUGGUUUGCUAUUAUUUGAUGCCUUGUGAAAUUGUGUCAUUUUGUUUACCUUAUUAUUCAUGGUUGUAUAGCUUUUUAUGGUAAGUUUGAAAUAGUAUGAUAACGGUCACAUUUGUGGUAUGUUUUGAUAAGUAUUGAACUAGAACAUGAUGCUUGGAUUAGGUAGGUGUGGAUUGAAUGUGUUUGAGGUGCCUUUGAAUGGCAUAAUGGUUAGUUGUAUUAAGAUCUUGAAAUGGCAUUUUGGUGUAUGUUUUGGUGAUUUUUACUUCCUUUUGAAGUGUGCUUAAAUGGGUUGAAAGGUCAUGCAUGAAAUGGUCUUGGAAAUGGCUUGCUUUUAGGUAAAUUUGGGUCCACACUGCCAGAGACACGGGCGUGUGACUCAGCCGUUUGAGACACACGGCCUGGCGACACAUCCAUGUGUCAUCUGAUGAUUUUCUUCUGUUGCAAGUCAGAGAGAUACAUGGCCUGGCACACGGCCAUGUGACACUACUCAAAGAGUUACAUGGGUGAGGACACAGACUGGGAUACAGCCGUGUGUCCCUAGUUUGAUAGUUACAUGGCCUGAGACACGGGUGUGUCUCUCAGCCAUGUGAGGCACACGGUCAUGUGACCCCUAUUUUGUAAAUUUUGCAUCUUUUUCCAAAACUUUUCAAACUAUUUCAAAUUAGUUUUGAAUUGUUUCUAAGUUAUUUUUAGGGUCUCAGGGCUCGAGUUAGAGACAAUAUGCAUAUGUAUGAAUGGUUUGUGAUGUGAUUAUAAUAUUGAAUGAUAUAAAGCUUAAAUGUGGUUGAUUGUAUGAUAAUGUUCCGUAACUGUAAUCUAGAGAUAGAGAUGAGUUAGGGGUGUUAUAUUUAGUGGUAUUAGAGCCACGGUUUAGUCAGUUCUCAAACUGAACAUGGCGUGUAGAAAGCAUUGUGAAACGUAUCUAGCUUACAUAUUUGAUUCUAGGGUUUCAGAAUUGAAACCAGAAUGGGUUUCAACUGUACAUGAGUUCACAGAUGUAUUACCAGGGUUACCACCUAUUAGAGUGGUUGAGUUUGCUAUUGAGUUAGUGCGGGAACAUUUCAGAUUUCGAUAGCUUCUGUGACAACCCGAAUUAGGGCCUAAUCAGAAUAGUUGUUUCGUGACCACAAAUCCGAGAUAAAAAUAAUUGUUUUAUAAUUAUUUUUGGGUUUAUGAUAUGAUUUCAUGAUUUCGUUAAAAUUUCGUGAUGAAAUUCUAUGCAUUGAGCGCUUAAGUUGAUAUUAGGGACUAAAACGAAUAAAUUGUAAAACUCGUGUUUUAGAAGUUUUUAGUAUGAAAUUGCUUUGGGAUAUUAACUAGGAGGUCUUAAAUAGAAAUUUGACCCAUUCCUAAGUUAUGGACAAAAGUUGGACAUGGAGGGAAUUUUUGGAAAGUUUAGUAGUAAGGGCAUUUUGGUCAUUUGUAUAUUAAAUGAAAUAAAAUGGGAAAAAUAACACAAAAUUGGUCAUCAUCUUCACUAGCUGCUGCCGAAAUUUUCUCUCCUCCAUAGCUAGGGUUUCUUCAACUUUCAAGCUUCAGAGUAAGUGAUUUCAAGCCCCGUUUUUAAUGUUCUUCACAUUUUUGAAAUCCUCGUAGCUCGGUUUACCUAUUUCUACCAUUAUUUCGAGUCAGGGUUUAUGUUUAAAAAUUUACCCAUGAAUGAUAGGCAUGUAUUGUGUUGUUUGAUGGUAGAAUAUGAAUGUUUUAAGUUAGGAGAACGAUCUUUUCUAAGCGAUUUUUAACAAAAACGAGCAAAACGGCAUAAUCGAUAAAAAUACCUAUUGUUCAUAACUAUGUGUUAGAGUGAGAAUUUGAUGUUCCCAUAGAAGAGAAAAAUGAUCAGUAGGUCAUUAAACAUAAGAAUAAGGACUGAAAUUAAAUUUCUGAGCCUUGGGGCAAAAUCGUAAUUUUGUAAAAGUUAGGGGCAAAAAUGUAAUUUUUGUAUAAUGUAAUUUUUGGAUUAAAAUAAAUAGUUCGAGUGUUAAAUGAGCUAAAUAUGUUAUUAUAGAUCAAUAAAGGCGUGGAAUCGACCUCGAACGGGGGAAGGAGAAAGUUUUGGACUAAAUUGCAAAAUGCCCAUAUUUUGCACCGAGGUAAGUUUGUAUGUAAAUAAUACAUUAAUUUCAUUUACAUUCUUAUAUUUCAGCCUAUUAUAUAUAUACUAGCUGAUGUUGAAGUAUAAAUCGACUAUUGGAAGAAUGGAAAUAAGUAAUAGAGAGAGAGAUCCCAGUUGAACAUUCGGAAAGAUUGAAUAAAAUAGAGGGAGCAUAGCUAGGUCACAUGUAUGGUGCUGAGUGCACAUCAUGUGUACAAGAAAGCUACGAGAUACUAUGUAGUAGCUAGGUCACAUGUGUGAUACGGGAUGUAUCCCAUGUAGACAAGAGAGCUACGUGAGAGAUAAAUGUAGCUAGGUCGUAUGCGUGAUUCCAAGUGAAGGACACCAUGUAGACAAGAGAGCUACGAGACAAAUCGGCUAGGUCGCAUGAGUGGUACUAAGUGUUCACCAUGUGGACAAGAGAGCCGAAUUAAAUGAAAUAUGAUGGUGGGGCUGUGUGCUAAAACCAUCAAGUAUCGAGGAUUAAUCCGAAUUGUUCAAUGGGAUGGCUUUGUGGUGACAUUGUAGUCAUGGGCCUAUACUUGUGAUGUAUGAAAUGUGGUGAAAAUGAUUUGUGAUAUAUAUAUAUAAGUUAAAAUGAGGUUAGUACAAAGAAUGUGUGAAAGAGUGAAAUUAGCAUUAAAACUGUUUUGGGCAGUAGCAGUGACGUGAUUUUUAAAAACCACCAAAAAUAGAAGGAAUUUAAUUAGAGGUUUAAUGAGAUGUUAAAUUAAAUCUUAAUUAGUCUAUUUUCAUAUAAAAGAAACAGAGUAGGAAAAGGAAUUCUAUAUUUUGAGAUAUUUACAAUUGUGUGUGACUUGCUCAGGAUGACUAUGUGAUCCCCUGUUCCAAAUUUGAAAAAUCAUUAAAAAUUGUACAAAAAAAAUUAAUAAAUAUAGUUUAUAUGACUAAAUUCCUUAUUGAGUCUAGUUUUAAAUGAAACAGGUUUCAUGGUUAUUUGAGUUGUGUACUAAGAGAAAUUCAAUUCAUAGUAAAUAGAGGUCAAAUCAAUUGAGCUGUGUAACAGGGGAAACUUUAACUAAUAAACUGUACUAAUUGGCUGAACCAAAAAUUCUAGAAAAAAAAUUAGUAAGAAUUUUUAUGAGUCUAGAUUUAGGAAAAUUUUACGGAUUUGAAUUUUGAGUUUCGUAACUCAAGUUAUGAUUUAUUUAGUGAUCAUGACGCAGGAGGGACAGCUUGAUCAAAUCGGAGUAAAUAGUAAAAUUAAAAAUAUGAUAUAAUUGAGUUAUGUUGUAAACAUAUUAGAUUCCUUAUUUGUUAUUUAUAUACUUACUUACUAAGCUAUAAGCUUACUUUCUUUUCUCUCCUUUGUCUUAUAGUGUCAUCCAGCUAGCACAGGAGUUAGAGAUCGUUGAAGAUCCGCCCGCACUAUCAAUACUCUUGGUAUUCGAACUCAACAUUUUGAAAUAUGGCAUGUAUAGCAGACUUAGUUAUUUAGUUACGUGUCAUAAUUGUCUAGGUUUAAAAUACUAAUUAUAGUAUCAAACUAAUCAUUUUUUACGAAGCCUUUGAAAUUGGUUUGUAUUGUUAAUGGCAUAUGUUAUAAUGAUUCAUGAUCAAAUUGCACGCCAUAUUUUUGUUGGGUUUUAUUUAAUAGUAUAUACUAUAAUUUGUUAAUACCUCGUACCCUGUUCCGGCGACGGAUACGGGCAAGGGGUGUUACAUUUAGUGGUAUCAGAGCUAUGGUUUAGUCGGUUCUCGGACUAAUAAAGUGUGUGUAAAAGUCUAGCUAUACAUGCCAUAAAAAUAUUGUGAUAGUGUGGUGACUCCUGAUUAUUCUAAACUGUGUUUUGUUUUAAUAUAGUAAUGGAUCCUGAAAGAACUGUGGCUGAUGAUGCUGCUAGUAAUGCGCCGACUUCCGCACAAGGGACCGCGCCUGUGGAAAGUAGACCUGAGACAUUGAGACAGGGAGAUGAGGCUCGGGAUGCCUUUCUCCAAAUGAUGAACAAUUGGUAUACUGAGUUUAUUCGAGCAAAUCCAAAUGCUCAACCUCCUCCACCCCCUCUCAUACCUCAGACGAUUCCUGUAGUUGCUCAAGGCAUAGAUUUGGUAAGAACGAACAAGCCUCCGGUUGACAAGAUUCGAAAACAAGGGGCCGAAGAGUUUAGAGCAAAGAUCGAUGAUGAUCCUGAGAAAGUGGAGUUCUGGCUUGAAAAUUCUACCCGUGUAUUUGAUGAGCUCUCAUGUACACCCGAGGAGUGCUUAAAAUGUGCUGUAUCACUUUUGAGAGAUUCGGCCUACCACUGGUGGAAGAAUUUGGUAGCAGUGGUGCCAAAAGAAAGAGUUACUUAGGAUUUCUUCUAGGAAGAAUUUAGAAAGAAAUACAUAAGUCAGCGAUUUAUUGAUAAAAAACGGAAGGAGUUCCUUGAAUAGAAGUAGGGCAAGAUGUCUGUGGCAGAGUAUGAACGCGAAUUUAUAAGACUCGGCAAGUAUGCCCAGGAAUGUGUGUCCACCGAGGCCAUUAUGUGCAGAAGGUUUGAGGAUGGGCUAAAUGAGGACAUUAAAGUGCUUGUGGGAAUUUUGGAGUUGAAAGAAUUUGUAGUAUUGGUUGACCAAUCUCUUAAAGUCAAAGAAUUGAACAAAGAAAGAAGAAAAGCUGCUAUUGAGGCCCGAGAUGCCAGAAAAAGGCCGAUAAGCAAGUCAUUUCAAUCUCAAUCAAAGAGGUCCAAAGAGACAAACCCUCGAAUGACAGUUUCAACUGGGGAUUCACACAGAGAUCGUGGUAGAGCAUAUUUGGGGUCUAAAGCUCAAGCUACUUCGGUGGCAAGUGUGGGUAAUGUGCGACCUAGAAAGCUCGAGUGUCAGCAAUGUGGCAGGCAACAUUAUGGUGAGUGUUGGGGAAACGAGCGAUCUUGUUUUGGGUGCGGUUCUCACGAGCAUUUUAUUAGAGACUGUCUGGAGAAAGUUAAAGAAGAAAGAUUUCAGAGUGCUAGACAGAAUACCACCGCUAGCAGAGGUAGACCACCGAGAAAUACUAGAGGUGGGACUAGCAGUAAAACUGCGAUGAAAGAUUCAGCGGCGAGAUCAGAAGCUAGAGCGCCUGCUAGAGCUUAUGCUAUACGUGCCCGAGAGGAUGCAUCAUCUCCCGAUGUCAUUACUGGUACAUUUUCUCUCUAUGAUACUAUUUUUAUUGCAUUGAUUGAUCCCGGGUCCACUCAUUCCUAUAUUUGCAUGAAUUUAGUAUCUAAUAAAAAGUUGCCUGUUGAGUUUACUGAGUUUACGAUUAAAGUGUCGAACCCCUUAGGCCAAUAUGUGCUAGUUGACAAGGUUUGCAAGAAUUGUCCAUUAAUGAUUCAAGGUCACUGUUUUCCGGCUAAUCUGAUGCUGUUACCAUUUGAUGAGUUUUACGUUAUUUUGGGAAUGGACUGAUUGACAUUGUAUGAUGCCAAGGUAGAUUGUAAACAAAAAACACUAGAGUUGAAAUGUGAAAAUGGAGAAAUUCUGUGGGUUGAAACAGAUGAAUCAAAUAAAUUGCCUAUGGUGAUUUCGCACAUGUCUGCACAGAAAUACAUGAGGAAAGGGUGUGAAGCUUAUUUGGCUUAUGUAAUGAAUACUGAGUUGCCUCAACUGAAGUUUGAAUCAGUACCGAUAGUCUGUGAGUUUCUAGAUGUAUUUCCAGAGGAAUUGCCUGGGUUACCUCCGAACAGAGAGAUAGAGUUUGCCAUUGAUUUGUUGCCGGGUACUGCACCGAUCUCGAUUGCUCCAUAUAGAAUGGCUCUGACUGAAUUAAAAGAAUUGAAGGCUCAGUUGCAAGAGUUAACAGAUAAGGGAUUUGUGAGACCGAGUUUCUCUCCCUGGGGUGCUCCUGUAUUGUUCGUAAAGAAGAAGGAUGGUUCAAUGAGACUUUGCAUUGAUUACCAUCAACUUAAUAAGGUGACUAUAAAGAACAAGUACCCAUUGCCGAGGAUUGAUGAUUUAUUCAAUCAGUUAAAGGGGGCCACAAUGUUUUCAAAGAUCGAUUUGAGGUCUGGUUACUACCAGUUGAGAGUUAAGGAGUCGGAUGUGCCGAAAACUGCCUUUAGGACAAGGUAUGGACAUUAUGAGUUUCUUGUGAUGCCUUUCAGCUUAACAAAUGCUCCAGCUAUAUUUAUGGACUUGAUGAACCGGAUCUUUCGGCCAUAUUUGGAGAAGUUUGUAGUAGUGUUUAUAGAUGACAUUCUAAUUUAUUCUCGGGAUGAGUUUGAACAUGCCGAACACUUGAGAACCAUAUUGCAAAUCUUGAGAGAAAAGAAACUGUUUGCUAAGUUUAGUAAAAGUGAGUUUUGUCUUCGUGAAGUCGGAUUUUUGGGACAUAUAGUCUCAGGUUAUGGUAUUCGGGUGGAUCCAAGCAAGAUUUCCGCGAUCGUUGAUUGGAAACCGCCAAAGAAUGUAUCCGAGGUUAGAAGCUUUUUAGGCUUGGCCGGGUAUUAUAGACGUUUUCUUGAGGGAUUUUUGAUGAUUGCCUCUCCUAUUACUAAGUUGUUGCAAAAGAAUGUUAAGUUUGAAUGGACUGAAAAAUGUCAGCAGAGUUUUGAAAAGUUGAAAGCACGAUUGACUGAAGCACCAAUUUUAGCACAGCCUGAGCUAGGAAAGGAGUUCGUAAUUUAUAGUGAUGCAUCAUUGACAGGCCUUGGAUGUGUGUUGAUGCAAGAGGGUAAAGUGGUAGCUUAUGCUUCGAGACAGUUAAAACUGCAUAAGAAGAACUAUCCUACACAUGAUUUGGAAUUGGCCGCUAUUGCCUUUUCCUUGAAGAUUUGGCGACAUUAUUUGUAUGGUGAAAAAUGCCGAAUUUUUACUGAUCACGAAAGUUUGAAGUAUUUGAUGAAUCAAAAGGAUUUGAAUCUGCGACAGCGGAGAUGGCUCGAAUUAUUAAAGGAUUAUGAGCUAGUGAUUGAUUAUCAUCCGGGAAAAGCAAAUGUAGUUGCUGACACCUUGAGCAGGAAAUUUCUUUUUACUUUGAGAGCCAUGAAUAUGGGGUUAGCAUUGUCUGAUGAUGGGUCAAUCUUAGCAGAGAUGAGGGCUAAACCGUUAUUUCUCCAGCUGAUUUGUGAUGCUCAAAAGAACGAUAGUGAGUUGUGAACCAAGGAACUCAAUGCGAAUCAGGUUACGACUCAGAUUUUCGAGUUGGACUAGACGACUGUUUGAUGUUUCGAGACAGGAUAUGUGUACCGAAAAAUUAUGAAUUGAUUCAGAAAAUAUUAGAUGAGGUGCACAGUGGCUGUUUAUCAGUUCACCCUGGUAGCACAAAAAUGUAUAAUGAUUUAAAGAAGUUAUAUUGGUGGCCAGGUAUGAAAAGGGACAUUUCUGAAUUUGCAACCAAGUGUUUGAUUUGUCAACAAGUAAAAGCUGAACAUCAAGUGCCUUCAAGACUACUUCAACCGGUAAUGGUGCCUGAGUGGAAAUGGGACAAGAUUACCAUGGAUUUUGUAGCCGGUUUGCCUUUGACUCCUAAAAAGAAGGAUGCUGUUGGGUAGUGGUUGAUAGAUUAACAAAGUCAGCCCACUUUAUACCAGUACGUAGCGAUUACUCACUUGAUAAAUUAGCUGAAUUAUAUAUUGCUGAAAUUGUGAGGUUGCACGGAGUACCUAUGUCUAUAAUAUCAGAUAGAGAUCCGAGAUUUACCUCAAGAUUUUGGAAAAAGUUACAAGAAGCUUUUGGUAAAAAAUUGAACUUUAGUACCGCAUUUCAUCCACAAACAGAUGGUCAGUCAGAAAGAGUAAUCCAGGUACUCGAGGAUAUGCUUAGAUGCUGUGUCUUAGAAUUUGGAGGUAGUUGGGAGAAAUAUCUAUCUUUGAUUGAAUUUGCCUACAAUAAUAGUUAUCAGUCAAGUAUACAAAUGGCACCGUACGAAGCCUUGUAUGGUCGCAAGUGUCGGACUCCUUUAUAUUUGACCGAACUUAGUGAGAAAUAGAUUCACAGAGUUGAUCUAGUUAAAGAAACCGAAGAGAAAAUAAAAGUAAUUCGGGAUUGCUUGAAAGCUGCUUUAGUUCGACAAAAGUCAUAUGCAGAUUUAAAAAGAAAAGAGAUUGAAUUUCAGGUGGGUGAUAAAGUGUUCUUGAAGGUGUCACCAUGGAAAAAGAUUCUGAGAUUUAGCCGAAAAGGCAAGUUGAGUCUGCGUUUUAUUGGGCCGUACGAGAUUACUGAGAGGAUUGGACCAGUGGCAUUUCAGUUAGCCUUACCGGCAGAGUUAGAAAGAAUUAAUAACGUGUUUCAUGUAUCAAUGUUGCGACGUUAUCAUUCUGAUCCUUCACAUGUGAUUUCUCCAGCAGAAAUUGAGAUUCGACCGGAUAUGACCUAUGAGGAACCAAUAAAGAUUUUGGCUCGGGAAAUUAAAUAGUUAAGAAAUAAAGUAUAGCCUUAGUGAAAGUAUUGUGGCACAGACAUGGGAUAGAAGAGGCUACAUGGGAACCUGAGGAAGCUAUGAGGAAACAGUACCCAAACCUCUUUACCGGUAAGAUUUUCGGGGACGAAAAUCUCUAAAGGGGGGGAGAAUUGUGACAACCCGAAUUAGGGCCUAAUCAGAAUAGUGGUUUUGUGACCACAAAUUUGAGAUAGAAAUAAUUGUUUUAUAAUUAUUUUGGGGUUUAUGAUAUGACUUCAUGAUUUCAUGAAAAUUUCGUGAUGAAAUUCUAUGCAUUGAGCGCUUAAGUUGAGAUUAGGGACUAAACCGAAUAAAUUGUAAAACUCAUGUUUUAAAAGUUUUUAGCAUGAAAUUACUUUGGGAUAUUAACUAGGAGGUCUUAAAUAAAAAUUUGACCCAUUCCUAAGUUAUGGACAAAAGUUGGACAUAGAGGGAAUUUUUGGAAAGUUUAGUAGUAUGGGCAUUUUGGUCAUUUGUAUAUUAAAUGAAAUAAAAUGGGAAAAAUAACACAAAAUUGGUCAUCAUCUUCACUAGUUGCUGCCGAAUUUUCUCUCCUCCAUAGCUAGGGUUUCUUCAACUUUCAAGCUUCAUAGUAAGUGAUUUCAAGCCCCGUUUUUAAUGUUCUUCACAUUUUUGAAAUCCUCAUAGCUCGGUUUACCUAUUUCUACCAUUAUUUUGAGUUAGGGUUUAUGUUUAAAAAUUUACCCAUGAAUGAUAGGCAUGUAUUGUGUUGUUUGAUGGUAGAAUAUAAAUGUUUAAAGUUAGGAGAACGAUCUUUUCUAAGCAAUUUUUAACGAAAACGAGCAAAACGGCAUAAUCGAUAAAAAUACCUAUUGUUCAUAACUAUGUGUUAGAGUGAGAAUUUGAUGUUCCCAUAGAAGAGAAAAAUGAUCAGUAGGUCAUUAAACAUAAGAAUAAGGACUGAAAUUAAAUUUUCGAGCCUUGGGGAAAAAUCAUAAUUUUGUAAAAGUUAGGGGGCAAAAAUGUAAUUUUUGUAUAAUGUGAUUUUUGGAUUAAAAUAAAUAGUUCAAGUGUUAAAUGAGCUAAAUAUGUUAUUAUAGAUCAAGAAAGGCAUGGAAUCGACCCUCGAAUGGGGGAAGGAGAAAGUUUUGGACUAAAUUGCAAAAUUCCCAUAUUUUGCACCGAGGUAAGUUUGUAUGUAAAUAAUACAUUAAUUUCAUUUACAUUCUUAUAUUUCAGCCUAUUAUAUAUAUACUAGCUGAUGUUGAAGUAUAAAUCGACUAUUGGAAGAAUGGAAAUAAGUAAUAGAGAGAGAUCCCGGUUGAACAUUCGGAAAGAUUGAAUAAAAUAGAGGGAGCAUAGCUAGGUCACAUGUAUGGUGCUGAGUGCACAUCAUGUGUACAAGAAAGCUACGAGAUACUAUGUAGUAGCUAGGUCACAUGUGUGAUACGGGAUGUAUCCCAUGUAGACAAGAGAGCUACGUGAGAGAUAAAUGUAGCUAGGUCGUAUGCGUGAUUCCAAGUGAAGGACACCAUGUAGACAAGAGAGCUACGAGACAAAUCGGCUAGGUCGCAUGAGUGGUACUAAGUGCUCACCAUGUGUACUAGAGAGCCGAAUUAAAUGAAAUAUGAUGGUGGGGCUCGAGGAUUAAUCUAAAUUGUUCAACGGGAUGGCUUUGUGGUGACAUUGUAGUCAUGGGCCUAUACUUGUGAUGUAUGAAAUGUGGUGAAAAUGAUUUGUGAUAUAUAUAUAUAUAAGUUAAAAUGAGGUUAGUACAAAGAAUGUGUGAAAGAGUGAAAUUAGCAUUAAAACUGUUUUGGACAGUAGCAGUGACGUGAUUUUUAAAAACCACCAAAAAUAGAAGGAAUUUAAUUAUAGGUUUAAUAAGAUGGUAAAUUAAAGCUUAAUGAGUCUAUUUGCAUAUAAAAGAAACAGAGCAAGCAAAGGAAUUCUAUAUUUUGAGAUAUUUACAAUUGUGUGUGACUUGCUCAGGAUGACUAUGUGAUCCCCUAUUCCAACUUUUAAAAAUCAUUAAACAUUGUACAAAAAAAAUUAAUAAAUAUAGUUUAUAUGCCUAAAUUCCUUAUUGAGUCUAGUUUUAAAUGAAAUAGGUUUCAUGGUUAUUUGAAUUUUGUACUGAGAUAAAUUCAAUUCGUAGUGAAUAGAGGUCAGAUCAGUUGAGCUGUGUAACAGGGGAAACUUUAACUAAUAAACUGUACUAAUUGGCUGAACCAAAAAUUCUAAAAAAAAAUUAGUAAGAAUUUCUAUGAGUCUAGAUUCAGGGAAAUUUUACAGAUUUGAAUUUUUAGUUUCGUAACUCGAGUUAUGAUUUAUUUAGUGAUCAUGACGCAGAAGGUCAGCUUGAUCAAAUCGGAGUAAAUAGUAAAAUUAAAAAUAUGAUAUAAUUGAGUUAUAUUGUAAACAUAUUAGAUUCCUUAUUUGUUAUUUAUAUACUUACUUACUAAGCUAUAAGCUUACUUUCUUUUCUCUCAUUUGUCUUAUAGUGUCAUUCAGCUAGCACAGGAGUUAGAGAUCGUUAAAGAUCCGCCCGCACUAUCAAUACUCUUGGUAUUCGAACUCAACAUUUUGAAAUAUGGCAUGUAUAGCAGACUUAGUUAUUUAGUUACGUGUCAUAAUUUUCUAGGUUUAAAAUACUAAUUAUAGUAUCAAACUAAUCAUUUUUUACGAAGCCUUUGAAAUUGGUUUGUAUUGUUAAUGGCAUAUGUUAUAAUGAUUCAUGAUCAAAUUGAACGCCAUAUUUUUUUUGGAUUUUAUUUAAUAGUAUAUACUAUAAUUUGUUAAUACCUCGUACCUUGUUCCGGCGACGGAUACGGGUAAGGGGUGUUACAAUUUCGUAUAGAAUGGCAUCUGCAGAACAUAAAAAGUUAAAAGCACAGUCACAAGAGUUGGCAGAUACAGACUUUGUUCAGCCUAGUUUUUCUCCUUGAGGUGAUCUUGUUUUGUUUGUUAAGAAAAAUGACGGAUCAAUGUGGUUGUGUAUCGACUACCAAUAGCUCAACAAAGUCACGAUCAAGAACAAAUGUCUUUUGCCACAUAUAGGUGAUUUGUUUGAUCAGCUGAAAGCAACAACAGUGUUUUCAAAGAUUGACUCCGUUCAGGAUAUUAUCAAUUAUAGAUUGAAGACUCGGAUGUGCCAAAUACUGUUUUCAGAACUCGGUACAAACAUUAUGAAUUUCUUGUUAUUCCAUUUGGUUUGACCAAUGCACCUGCUAUGUUUAUGGAUUUGAUGAAUAGGACAUUCAAGCCGUAUUUAGACAGAUUUUUGGUUGUGUUCAUUGAUGAUAUACUUAUUUAUUCCCGAGAUGAGACAGAGCAUACCCAGCAUUUGAGAAUAGUUUUGCAGACUUUACGUGAAAAAUAGUUUUUCUCUAAGUUUAGCAAAUGUAAGUUCUGGCUUCAGAAAGUUGGAUUUUUGGGACACAUGGUAUCAGUGGACGAUAUUAGAGUUGAUCCAAGUAAAGUAUCGGCUAUAGUGGACUGGAAGCCUCCGAGAAAUGUGUCUGAAGUAAGAAGUUUUCUGGGUUUAGCAAAAUAUUGUAAAAAAUUUGUAAAAGGAUUUUCAAUGAUUACUACACCAUUGAUGAAACUGCUUAGAAAGAUCUCAAGUUUGAAUGGUUUGAGAAAUGUCAACAAAGCUUUGAUCAAUUGAAAGCGUUGUUAAUCAAGGCACCUGUGUUAGUUUAGCCAGAGUCCGGUAAGGAAUUUUUUAUUUAUAGUGAUGUUUCAUUGGACGGUUUAGGUUGUAUAUUGAUGUAAGAAGGCAAAGUGGUAGCGUAUGCUUCUCGACAGUUGAAAUCGCAUGAAAAGAAUUACUCGACUUAUGAUUUAGAGCUUCUUUAAAGAUUUGGCGACACCGCUUGUACGGAGAAAAAUGUCAUAUUUUCACGAAUCACAAAAGCCUAAGGUAUUUGAUGUCACAGAAAGAUCUAAACUUGAGACAACGUUGAUCGUUUGAAUUACUAAAAGAUUACGACUUGAUCAUUGACUAUCACUUAGGAAAGGUUAAUGUCGUUGUUGAUGCUCUGAGUAGAAAAUCUUUAUUUGCUUUUUAAGCUUUGAAUACAAGAUUUACGUUGAUUGAUGAUGGUUCUAUACUAGUUGAAUUAGAAGCUAGACCAAAAUUUUUGCAAUAGAUUUGUGAGGCUUAGAAAAGUGACACUAAAUUGAUCGCUAAACGAAAAUAGAUUGAGUCAACAUCUGAUUCAGACUUUCAUGUUGGUUUAGACAAUAAUUUGUAGUUCAAAAUAGAAUUUGUGUUCCAAGGAAUUCUGAUCUCAUUCAGAAGCUUUUACAUGAAGUUCACAGUAGUAACUUAUCGUUACAUCCUGGUAGCAAUAAAAGGUACAGUGAUUUGAAACAGAUGUUCUUGUGGCUAGGUAUGAAACGAGAGAUUUCAGAGUUUGUAUCAAAAUGUGUGAUCUGUCAGCAAGUAAAAGCUAAGCAUUAAGUACCUUUUGGUUUAUUACGACCUAUGAUGAUUCCAGAGUGGAAAUGGGAAUGUGUUACAAUGGAAUUUAUGUCAGGAUUGCCUCUAUCUCCGAGAAAGAAAGAUAUCUUUUGGGUUAUUGUAGAUCGUUUGAUGAAAUCUACACAUUUCAUUCUAGUGCGUACGAAUUUUUCACUUGAUAAAUUAGCAUAAUUAUACGUUUCUGAGAUUGUCAGAUUACACGGUGUGCCAGAUUCUAUUAUCUCUGAUAGAGAUCCAAGAUUUAUGUCUUGAUUCUGGAGUAAGUUACAUAAAGCUUUGGGUACUCAACUACAUUUUAGUAUACCAUUUCAUCUACAAACCGAUGCUCAAUCUUAACAAGUAAUCCAGGUACUCGACGAUAUGCUCCGAUGUUGCGUUUUAGAGUUCAAAGGUAACUAGGAGAAAUUUCUUCCGUUUGUUAAAUUUGCAUACAACAAAAAUUAUCAAGAGAGCAUUAAAAUGGCACUGGAUAAAGCUUUGUAUGGUCAAAAAUGUCGAACAUCGUAAUACUGGACUGAGCUGAGGGAGAAAAAGUUAUUCAGUAUUGAUUUGAUUUGAGAAACUGAAGAAAAAGUCAAAGUGAUACGUAACCAUUUGAAAGCUGCUUCUGAUCAUUAGAAAUCUUAUGUAGAUUUGGAAAGAAAAGAUAUGGAGUUUCAAGUCAGUAACAAGGUAUUUCUAAAAGUAUCGCCUUGGAGAAAAGUUCUCUGGUUUGGCUGAAAAGGAAAGCUUAGUCCGUGAUUUAUCAGACCGUAUAAGAUUAUUGAGAGGAUUGGACCAGUGGCUUAUUGAUUGGCUUUUCCGUCUAAGUUAGAAAAGAUUCAUAAUGUAUUUCAUGUAUCAAUGUUAUGAUGGUAUCGAUCAGAUCCUUCACACGUGAUUUAACCUAUAGAUGUUGAGUUCAGCCAGCAAUGACGUACAGUGAAGAAACAAUCAAAAUUUAGCUCGGGAAGUUAAAGAAUUGAGAACAAAAGUAUAGCUUUAGUUAAAGUUACCUGGAAACGUCAUGGAAUGAAAGAGGCUACCUGGGAACCAAAAAAAGCUAUGAAAGUUCAAUACCCGAACCUAUUUUCUGGUAAGAUUUUCGGGGACAAAAAUUCCUUUAGGGGGAGAGUUGUAACAACGCAUUUUUAGUGAUAUCAAAAAUAGUGAUUUCAGGACCACAAUUCUGAUGAGUAAAUUAUUAUUUUAUUAUCAUUUUAACAUCUAUGCGAAUAUAUUAAGGUCGUAUUAAAAUUUCGUUAAGAAAUUUUUAUGUUUAAGUAAUUAAUUAAGUGAAAAGGACUAAAUCAUAAAAAGGUGAAAAGUUGAGUUAUAUUAGUUAAAAGGGUCAAAUGACUAUGAAACUUUAAACUAAAGGACUUGAAGGGAAAAUAACCAUUUAAUAAAUUAUUGGGUGUGCAUGGCAUUUUUUAUUGAAAUUUUGUUAGUUUUUAAAGGUUAAUUUGGUAAUUAAGUAAAUAAACUUAAAACAAAAAGGAAUUAAAAGAUAGUAUCAUCUUUAGUCUUCUUCUCCAUUGAGAUUCAAGAGAGGAAUAGCCAUUGUUAGGGCUUUAAUGUUUAGCUAGCUUGGGUGUGUGCAUGUAAGUGAUUCCAAGCCCUAUUCCUAAUGAUUUUUAUGUUUUUGAGUUCGUUUUAGCUUAAUCUAGCUAGCCCUGAGGUCAAUUUGUAAAAUUGUUAAAGGUUUAGGGUUAUGCCAUGAAUGUUCUUGAAUGUUUUUUGAUGUUACAUGAUAGAUUAUGAAUCUUUGUUGAAAAAUAAACAAGUUUUGUUAAGUGAUUUUUGUUGAAUUUUGGAAUUAGGGACUAAUUUGUUAAAGAUAUAAAUUCUAGGGUUUUAUUGUAAAAUUAUGGUAAAUAUUAGUUUUUUCAAGGUCGCUUGCAUGUUUGAUUAACAUGGAUUUAGAUUAAAAUGGUUAGAUUUUAAGUUAUAAGCUUAAGGACUAAACUGUGAAAAAGUUAAAAUGUUAGGGGCAAAUUGGUAAUUUUCAUAAAUAUGAAAUUUGGAUUAAAUUAAAUACUAGAAAUAUGAAAUUGAUUUAAAUUCUCCAUUUAGAUCAAGAUAAACCACGUACGGACCUAGAUCAAGGAAAAGCAAAGGCUUCUGAAUAGUUUGACCUAACUACUAUGACCCUAGUCGUCAAGGUAAGUUUGUAUGAAGGUUAUUGUGUUAUUGUUACUUAAAUUGAAUGUUUGCUAUGUUACUCUUAAUGUGAAUGGAUUGAUAUAUAUAAACAUAUCAAUGUUAUGAUGAAUUGACAAUUAUCGAGUCCCGGUUGAACAUUAGGAAAUCUUAGGAUACAAAUGACAUAUCAUUUGGGAUUUCAUGUUUCGGGUGCUAGUCUUGAAUGUCCUAUCGAUGGAUGAGGUCCUAUAUUUUUUGUGAAUUCUCCACAGCUAGUGUGAGCAGCAUCCUGUAGCUUACAUUCGACCCACAGCUCGUUUGAGCAUGCCCAUUUCACAGCUUGUGUGAAAAAUAAUGUAAAGGAAAGGUUACGAUUGUAUGUAGAGGCACACCUUUGUGUGAGAUUCCCUAAGUAUCUGAGGUAAUUCUAAUUGGUUCAACAGGAAAGAAAAAGGAACAUAAUGGUAAGUAUGUAAAUGGAAUGAAUCAUGAUUUAAUGAAAGGCUUGAUAAACUAAAUAAUGUUGUAUGUACCUUAUGAAUGAUUUCAUUUAUGCUAUGGAUGAACAGACUAACUUGUGAGUUGGUGAUGUUGCAUAUGUUUACACUAAGAUUAUGGUAUUGGUAUUGAUUUGUACUUAUUAUAUGAAUUGUACUAUAAAAAUGGUAAGUUACGUUUUAAUUUUAUACGAGCUUACUAAGCAUUCAUUACUUACAUAGUUUCUUUCUUAGUUUCUUCCUUGUCAAAUUGUGUCAUUUUGGUUAUCUUAUUAUGCAUGGUUGUAUAGCUCUUUAUGGUAAGUUUGAAAUGGUAUGAUAAUGAUCAUAUUUGUGGUAUGUUUUGAUAAAUAUUGAAGUAGAACAUCAUGCUUGGAUUGUGGUAUUUUUUAUAUGCUUAGGUAGGCGUGAUUUUGAAUGUGUUUGAAGUGCCUUUGAAUAGCACAAUGGUUAGUUGUAUUAAGAUCCUGAAAUGGCAUUUUGGUGUAUGUAUUUGUUAUGUUUGGGUCCUUUUGAAGUGUGCUUAAAUGUGUUGAAAGGUCAUGCAUGAAAUGGUCUUGGAAAUGGCUUGAUUUUAGGUAAAUUUGGGUCCACACGGCCAGAGACACGGGCGUGUGACUCAGCCGUGUGAGACAUACGGCCUGGCGACAUGGCCCUGUGUCAUCUGAUGAUUUUCUUAUGUUGUAACAACCCGUUUAGUAAAAUCAAAAUAGUGGUUUCGAAACCAUAAACUCGAUGUCAAAAAAUUAUUUGAAUAUUAUUUUAAGUGUUUACAGCAUGAUAGCAUGUAUGAGUGAAAGUUUUGUGAAGUAAUUUUGUAACACCCCUAUCCCGUAACCAUCACCGGAAUAGGUAAGGGGCAUUACCGGACUUGUAACUCAUGUCAGAACAGUAAAAUUUUGAACUUUUUCUUGAAAUAAAGAUCAUUCAUUUAAAUAAGUACUAAGCACAGCCAGGGAUAAAAUUUAAACUUCUCUAAGUAAACAUUCAAAAGAUGCCAUUUUCGCAUGGCUUAUAUACAUUAACCAAAAAUAUUCUUCCGCCACUAGUCUAUUCUAUACAUGCCAUAAAAUAAUUCUAAACAUAACAGUAAUAAGCAGUGGAUAGUGAUAGUGUGACUAGUUGCUGACGAUCCCCGAGCCUGUAGCUUCGCAAUGAGAUCUAUAAAAUAGAGAAAACAAAGUAAACGGAGUAAGCAUUACAAUGCUUAGUAAGUUUUAAGCAGUGACAACAGAUAACAAUCAAAUUAUAACAUAGUUGUUCAUAUUUUUAUUUCACUCUUCCUUCGGGCAUACCAUCCCUUUACCGAAUAUGCACAUCUCAUCAUAUACAAUAGGCAGAUAAACUUUCACAUAAAAGUGAGCUCAUGUGACAUAGAUAUAUUGUAUGAUUUCACAUAUCCUCUCACACUGAUCCGAAGUCACAUAAUCAUAGGAAUAGUCUCAUAGAUUGCUCUCAUAUGCAUCACAUAACUACCUUAUGAUUUAGUUCAAAUCAAGCUCACAUAUAAACUUGGAGUACAUACCUGUUUAACCUUUCGCAUUGAAUAUAUUUAUAUGCAAUUCUUAUUACGAAGUCUUAUAGCUCUAACCUCUACUCGGAUUAUCGGUGAGACCUUUAGCUCAGACGAAAUCUCCACAUGAAGUUAUCGGGUCUUACCCAGACAAAAUCUCCACACGUAGUUAUCGGGUCUUACCCAGACAUAAUCUCCACACGUAGUCAUUGGGUCUUACCCGGACAUAAUCUCCACACGUAGUCAUCGGGUCUUACCCGGACAUAAUCUCCACACGUAGUCAUCGGGUCUUACCCGGAAUAUAUUUCCAAGUUUCAUGUACAUUUAAUCACAUGUUACAACAUUCACAUCGACUGUCAUAUUUGUAAUUCAUUUGCCUCAUCCAAAAAUCUAAUAAUACACACCUUUCACCGUUUGUCAUUUGGCCACAAUAUAUAUAUACACAUCUCGUACAUAUCUCACAUUAGCCAUUUGGCUUUACCACAUAUCCAUCUCAUACACGUUUCGCAUUAGCCAUUCGGCCUUACCACAUAUAUUCAUGUUCACAUUCAUCACAUUGGCCAUUCGGCCUUAUCUCAUAUAUGCAUGUUCACAUUCAUCACAUUGGCCAUUCGGCCUUAUCACACAUACGCAUGUUCACAUUCAUCACAUUGGCCAUUCGGCCUUAUCACACAUACGCAUGUUCAUAUCCAUCACAGUGGCCAUUCGGCCUUAUCACACAUACGCAUGUUCACAUUCAUCACAUUGGCCAUUCGGCCUUAUCACACAUAUAUAUACGGGUUCACAUUCAUCACAUUGGUCAUUCGGCCUUAUCACACAUACGCAUGUUCACAUCCAUCACAUAAAAUCCUAAAUCAAAAUAUAAAUUUUCAUGUAUUCACAUCACAAUUAUCCAAAUAUACUUCACAUACCACAUAUACUUUCACGUAUACACACUGCCUUGGCUGAAUCUACAUCUAUCAUUUUCCAAUAUCACAAUUUAGAAUUCACGUAUGGGUUUAAUCAAUAGCUUAUGACCAACUAAAACAAGUUUAUCAAGGUUUACAACAUAAUCUCAAAUUCAGCACAAGCUAUUUUUCCUGAGCAAUAGUCACUAAAUUAUUUAUAACUGGAGCUACAAAACUCCAAAUCACUUUAUGUUAAUUUUUCCUGAAUAUAAACUCGUAUAUCUUCCAUCCAUAAAAUUUCCAGAAUUUUAGGUUUGGCCAAUCAAUACCAGAUUUUUCUUAAAGUUUCUCCUGUUUCACUGUUUGACUAAUCUGACCACUCUUCACUACGAAUCAAAUUUCUCAUUUUACAGAAUUCAAAAUGUGUUUUAUUUGAUUUCAUUUGAAACUAGACUCAUUAAGGAGUCUAAGAAUAUAAAUUUUAUCUUAUAACCAUUUUUGUACAAUUUAUAAUGAUUUUCUAAAAACCGAACAGGUGAUUUCGGAGUCAUUCUGACACCAUCUCACACAACUUUAAAUAUCUCUUUCUAGGAAAUUUCUUUGCUCACAAGGUCUCUUUUAUAAGAAACUAGACUAAUUAAGCCUUGAUUACAUAUUUUAUGUAGCCUAUAAUUCCACACCAACAAUUUAUAGUGAUUUUCUAAAUUCACGUUACUGCUGCUGUCCAAAGCAAAUUAUUACAAUUUGCUCUUAAAUUUCCAAGUCCAAACACUUAUGAACUUACCAUUUGAGUUUAAGACAUAUCAUGGCCACAUCAUAUCUUAUUAAAUCAACUCAUUAUGUCCUAUUAUGAUUGAAUUUACUCAACGUUUAAUCACUUAAAACUUACCUCGGAUGUUGUCGAACGAUUUCGGCGGCUAUUCGAUCACUUUUUCCUUUCCUUUAUCCAACUUUGAUCCUCUAAGCUCUUGAGCUAAUUCAAACAAAUUUAACUUAUUAAAGUCUCAUUAUGCUAGCUUAUGGCCGAAUAUGACAAUGAAUUUGAUAGGUCAUAUGGCCACUUUUAGCUCAAAUACAAAAUGGUCAUACGCAUUUUUAAUCACAUUAAGCAAUUUAGUACAAUUAAUCAAACAUUUCCUCAUGUGCACCUUUAUGACCAAAUACACACAUCAUUAACCUAAUAUCAAUUAACUAAGCACUUAACAAAUUCUCCUUGAGCCGAUUGUCUAAGUCAAGAUAGGAUCAUCAUUAUGCUUACCUAUAGCCGAAUGUACAACAUCAAUCUAUGCAUUCAUUCGUGUGGCCGAACAUGCAUGUCUAUGUUGAGGCCGAUUGCAUACUUAAUACAUUCUACAAGUAUGGUCACUUGUAUUGACCAAAUACCAUUUUGUUUCAAGUUCAAAACUUGGCUAAUAUAUAUAUAUGCACUAUUAAAACAUCCUCUCCAUUCCAUCAAUUCAACACAUGCAUUACUCAUUAAUAUACAAAAUUAUAUUCGGCCUUAGCACACCUCUUGCUGGCCGAAUUUUUUCUCCAUCUAGCAACAUUUUAUGUACUAUGCCGAACCAAAAAGAUCAAACACCUAGCUUAAUCAUUUCCAAAACACUUAACCGGCCUUUGACCAAGACUUUAAACAAAGUCUAUGUUCGGCUAUCACACAUAUGGGCAUUAUUAGUUCAAAGUUUUAACAAGAUUAAUUUCUUUGAUCUUAACCUAAAUGACAACCCCCAUUGUUCAUCUAGAUUUAGCAUGAAACAAACACCAACCAAGAAAACAACACCCAUGGCCGAGUAUCAUCUUCAUCACAUAGCAAGAUUUAAACCAUAGGCUAGGUAGAACUCAAACUAACAUCAAAAAUAUGCAUGAAUCUCAUGGAACAACAUCAAACUUACCUUAACCUAGAUACAAGCAUGGCCGAAUCUCUUCAACAUUUCCUCCUCCUAAACACCAACCAACUGAACAUGAAGCAAGAAAAUCCUCUUCUUCUUCCUUCCUCCUUAGAAUUUUCAGCCAAAAGAAAUGUUAAAGGAUGGACACUUUUUUUUUCUUUGUUUUCAUCACCCUCCAUCUCCUUAUUUUAUUACUAACCCCUUAUUUUAUUAUUUCUAACAUAAACCAUUAACACAACAUGUUUAUGACAUGUUUUACCCAUCACCCUUUGUCAUGGCCGGCCAUUAGUAAUUAAAUGGGGGAAAUUGACAUGCAAGUCCACCCCUUUGAUUACAUGCACUAAUAGAUCCUUAUAGAUUAACCUAUCACAUUUCAAAAGUGUCACACAUAAGUCCUAUUAACUAAAUUCACAUGCAAUUAACUAAAUCAAAGCUUAAAACUUUCACACAUUCAUAUUCACAUAUUUUAGGCAAUAAUUAUCAUAUUCAAAUAAUUUGGUGACUUAGUUUAGCGGUCCCAAAACCGCUUUCCGACUAGGGUCACUUUAGGGGUGUCACAAAUUUUAUCGUUUGAAUGCUUAAUUCGAUAAAAAGGACUAAAUCACGUAAAGUGCAAAAGUGAUGUUCUAUUAGCUAAAGGUGUCUAAUAGCUAUAGAACCUUAAAGUAAAGGUCCUUAAGUGGUAAUUAACCCAUUUGAAAGUUAGUGGAUGAUAGUGGCAUGGCAAUUGGUGUAAUUAUUAAAUGUUUUAAAGGUUAAAUAAGUAAAUUAGUUAAUAAAGGUUAAUUAAAACAAAACAAAUUCAUAAUUUUUGUCCAUCUUCAUGCUAAUAGCCGAAUUUAACAAAGGAGAAAGCCAUUCUUAGGCCUUAAAGCAUUCGACCAACUCCUAGCUUAAUUGCAAGUCCGUUUUUGCUCGAUUUUUAAUGAUUUAUAUGUUUUUCUGAUAGUUGCAACUAGUACUAGCUAGCCCAGGGACUAUUUUGAAAAACUGUUAGAGAUUUUAAAUGAUUCCAUUGAUGAAUACAUGUGUAUUUUGAAGUUUCUUAAUAGAUUAUGAAUGCUUGUUGAUAGAUAUACAAGUUUUGUUAAGUGAUUUUUAGUGAAAAUGCAAAAUAGGGAUUAAAUUAAAAAAUGUUGAAACUUGAUGGUUAAAAUGUGAAAUCAAUGAAAAAUAUGGGCUGUUAGGGGUACAAUAGUAAUUCGGCUAAGCAUGGGUGUUUUAAAAUUUGCAUGAAUUUGUGAUUUUGUGUAAUAAGGACUAAAUUGUAAAAAUGUGAAAGUUUAGGGGCUAAUUUGUAAAAUAGCUUAAACGUAUAUUUUGGAUUGAAUUGAAUAAAUAUAUGAUUAAAUGAGUUGAAUUUGAUAUUAUAUAGAUCAAGAAAAAUUGAAUUUGGAAUUGGAUCUGAGAAAAGAUAAAGUAUUCGAUUAAUCGACAAUUUCAUUGUUAUUAAAUUGAGGUAAGUUCGUAUGUGAUAAAUUUCACUAUAACAGUAUUUUAAUUGCUUUGAUAUAUUAUAAGUUGUGAAUACGAGACUUCGGGUAAGUUCGACAUUAACUCUAUGACAAUUCAACAUCCGAAAUCCUGGUUGAACCUUGGGAAUAGUUUAGGAUACUAGUGACAUGUCAUUAGGGGAUAUGUAACAUCCGGAUUUUGGGCCUAGUCAGAAUAAUGGUUUUGAGACCACAAAUUCAAAGUAGAAAUAAUUAUUUUAUGAAUGUGUUGAGGUCUAUGAUAUGUUUGCAUGAUUGUAUGAAACUUCAGUUAAGAAAUUUUGUUGAUAGAGUGUCCAAUUUGAUUUUUAGGACUAAAUUGAAAAAGUUGCAAAAUAUGUGAUUCUAGAAGCUUUAAGCAUGGAAUAGCUAUGGAUUAUUAAUUAGACGCCCUUAAAUAGCAAUUUAACCAAUUUCUAUUUUUAUGGACAAAAAUGGGCAUGAAUAAGUAAAAUUGAAGGUUUAGUAAAAAGGGCAUUUUGGUCAUUUGGUUAAUAAAAGAAUAGAAAGGGAAAAUUAAUUCAAAAUUUGCUCAUCUUCUCCAUGCCAUAGCUGAAAUUCCUAAGGUCACCUUAGCUAGGGUUCUUCAACUUUCAAGCUUGAUUGUAAGUGCAUUCUAGCCUCGUUUUUAAUGUUCUUUACAUUUUUGAAGUUGUUGUCAACUGAUCUAGCCAUUUCUACCGUUUAUUUGAGCUUGAGUUGAUGUCUAAGGUUUGACCCAUAAGUGACAUGUAUGUAUUUUGAUGUUUCAUGGUAGAUUAUGAAAGUUUGAUGUGUAAUAAACAACCUUUACUAGGUGAUUUUUUAUGAAAAUACCUAAAAUAGACCUAUUUGUACAAGUUGUAAAAUGUGUAGUAAAAAUCUGAUUUGAUGAAAAAUGUGGGCUGAUAUGAGCAUGUGUGUGGGUCGGCUAGGCUUGAGUAACAAAGAAAUUGAAUGCAUUUCAUUUGACGAGCCUAAGGACUAAUUUGUAAAUAUGUGAAAGUUUAGGGGAAAAACUAUAAUUUUUCGAAAGUAUGGUUUUUGGAUUGAUUUGAACAAUUUGGUAAUUAAAAGAGCUAAAUUUGAUAUUACAUAUGAAGAAAAACAGAGUCCAAACCUAGACCGGGGAAAGAACAAGGUUGUGGACUAAAUCGAGUUAGUUAGCUAUAUUUUGUACUGAGGUAAGUUCAUAUGUAAAUAAUACAAUAUUAUGAUCAUAUUUUUAAUGCAUUAAUAUUGUAUGAAUUGUAUAAUUGAUUCGAUGAACAAAUUCGACAAGUUCCGAAAAGAGAGAGAAAAUCCUGUUUGAACCUUAGGAAUAGAAUAGGAUACGAGUGACAUGUCACUAGGACCCAUGUGAUAUAUAUGAUUAUGUGAUUUGAGUGCUGGUCAUGUACGUCCUACCGGUGGCUAGGUAGUUCGGCAUGUGUUACGGAUGCCUGGUAGCUUGUGUGAGUAGCUCGUGUAGCUACGCCUUGACCGUCUGCUUGUGUGAGCAGACCCGUGAUUAGCUCGAGAGCGAGCAUUUAUGUGAUAUGAAAUAUGAGGUAGCUUUGGCUAUAUAUGUUGCACUUGUGUGCAAAGACCUUCUGUGUAUCCGUUUAGUAUUCCAAGUGUUCAACGGGUAUGUCAAAAACGAGAAAAAGUAUGUUAAGUCACAAGUUGGUACAGGUAUGUACGAAAAACUCAUAAGAUUGAGCUUGUUAAGUGAUGAACUUUUAGUAAGAUUAAGAAUGAUAAAGUUAUGCUUAUGAAACUAUGAUGAUCAGUAUGUGAUUUAUGCUAAGUUAAAUUGUAUGAUAUUCAUGCUAAAUGUUGCUUAAUAUUGUUUAUUAUUGCAUAUGAACUUACUAAGCUCUAUGCUUACUCCCUUUCUUUCCAUUUUCUUAUAGUAUCGCCAAGCUAGCUCCAGAAUCGAAGGACGUGGGAGCUCGAUUCACACUAUCAAAUUAAUCUUUCGGGUAUUCAUGAUUUCAUAUUUUGAGUAUGGCAUGUAUAGGGACAUGGUCUUUUUGUGAUAUGUUUCAUUAUUGAUUUGGCCAAAUGUGUUGGCUUGUAACGGUAAUUGAUUCAUUUUGUAAAUGGUCAUAUGGUAUUGGCUAAUAUUGGCUAAGUAUAUAUAUACAUAUGAUGAUGCCUUUCAUGGAUGUGGUUAUCGCAUGGUUUGUAAUUAUAAGUAUGAGAUGUUGUAUGUAAUAGAAAUUGGCAUGAAAUUGAUGUGUGGAUGUCUUGGUUGUGGCUGAAUUGGUAAUGUGUAUAUGUUUGGAUUGGUGUUCUUUAAUGUUGUGUAGGUUGGUGCAAGUAAGGGUGGCAAAAAGGCUUGGUAAAUAACCCUAUUUUUGUCCACACGGGUAGACACACGGGCAUGUGUCUAGGCUAUGUGUGAUACACGGUCUACCCCCAUGGGCGUCGGAUCCGACCGUGUGUCCCCUGCACCUUAAUUUUAGUAUCAGAAUGCUCAGUAUUGAUUACACAAGUGCGAGACACGGCCGUGUGUCUCGACCGUGUGAGAGACACGGCCUUGGGACUUAGGCAUGUUUCCUGGCCAUGUGAAGUCUGCAUCUAUUUUGUGAAAAAUUAUAGAAUUUAAUCGUCCACACGGCCUAAGCACACGGGCAUGUGCCUUGGCCAUGUGACCUCAUUUAUUACAUGACGUCAUAAACAGAGAGUUACACGGGCUAAGGACACAGGAAUGUCCUAAGCCACACGGGCAUGUGUGAUCACAUGGCUUACCCACACGGGUGUGUGACCUUCCAAAGCAUGAAAAUUUUUUUAAGUGUUGUAAAAGUUUUGAAAGUUCUCAGUUUAGUCUCGAAUCACUCCCAAUGUAUGUUUUGAGCCUCGUAGGCUCGUUUAAGGGACGAUGCGAAUGAUUUUGAAAAGUUUUAAAUUUGCAUGGAAAUUUAUGUUUUGGUUCUACAUGAUUUCUUGUGUAUAAAUCCGGUAAUACCUUGUACCCUAUUCUGGCAUCGAAUACGGGUAAGGGGUGUUACACGAUACAUGUGUUGGUUUCGGGACAUGAUAUUAGCAUUUCGGGUGCCAUUUAUACUGAUUUGGCUUCGGGCCAUGAAUAUCGGCUGGUUUUGCUUUGAGCCAUUAUAUCAGUAUUUCAAACAUAAAUUAACUUGAUUUAGCUUUGGGCCAUGGUAUAGGUACUUAGUCUGCGAGACUCCUGAGUAUCCAACUUCCCAAAAUUUGUGCUGCUAUAUAAUGCAUAUAAGGUUAAACCAUGGAUCAUACCAAUAAAAUUACUUCUUUUCAAUUUUAAUGGAAAUAGGAACAUUAAUAAAAAUAUUAUUGAAAAUAAAAAAAGGGUCACCCAGGAGUAUUUAGCCUUGCAAGGUGGUCCUUGCUGAUUCACACGGGAUUCCACGUGCCCCAUGCUACUCGGGUCAGAGCGUAAGCUAGUGAUGCUUUCGGCUACUGGACUAUCGCCAUCUAGGGUUCGGCACUUCACCGCUUCGCCUAGCAGCACGACGCUUUUAUUGCUCUCCCACAACCCCAUUUUCACGGUUUAGGCUGCUCGGCAGAACAACUCAAAAGAUAAAGAAGUAUCGUUAAUUUCUUCAUGCUCGUUCCAAGCUAGAAGUACCAUUUGUACAAAUAAGAAUCCCCUUCGUUACAUGAUUUCUUC